CUCUCCCCCUGUCUCCCUCUCUCCCCCUGUCUCCCUCUCUCUCCCUGUCUCUCCCUUUCUCUCUUUCUUUCGAGACAGGGUCUUGUUCUUGCCCAGGCUGGAGUGCAGUGGUAUGAUCUCUGCUCACUGCAGCCUCCACCUUCUGGGCUCAAGUGAUCCUGCCUCGGCCUCCUAAGUAGCUGGGAUUUCGAGCAUGUGCCACCACACCCAGCUAAUUUUUGUAUCUUUUUUUGUAGAGAUGGGGUUUCACCAUGUUGCCCAGGCUGGUCUUGAACUCCUGGGCUCAAGCGAUCCACCUGCCUCAAUCUCCCAAAGGUUUGAUAUUAUACACAUGAGCCACUGCACCCGGCCUGUUCUGUGUUUUUCUACGUUAAAUGAUGACAUGGAUAUUAUGUCCCUGACUUGGGGAGACAGUCUCAGUUUCACAUAUUAUGUUCUUUUCUGCCCAUAAACAUCCUCAUGUUUGUUAGAUUGUAUUCUGGAAAAUUUGGCCUCUGUAUUUCUAGCAACCCUUUCUAUGAUUACACAUUUUAGCAAGAAAAAAAUCAUAAUUUGCUUAUUAAUAUUUUAGUGGAGAAAGGCUUUUGAUAUUAGAAAAUCUGGGAGUAGGCCAGACGCUGUGGCUCACACCUGUAAUCCCAGCACUUUAGGAGCCCGAGGCACGCGGAUCAUGAGGUCAAGAGAUUGAGACCAUCCUAGCCAACAUGUCUCUACUAAAAAUACAAAAAUUAGCUGGGCAUGAUGGUGCGCGCCUGUAGUCCCAGCUGCUGGAGAGGCUGAGGCAGAAGAAGCGCUUGAACCCGGGAGGCAGAGGGUGCAGUGAACUGAGAUCACGCCACUGCACUACAGCCUGGCGGCAGAGUGAGAGUCCGCCUCAAAAAAAAAAAAAAAAAAAAAAAAAUCCGGGAGUAAAAAGUCAUGACUAGGCAUAGUGAGAAUGACUGCUAAUAGGUCAAAUAUUCUGGGGAAAGUUUUUGAGCUAAUGGAGAUGUUUUGGAAUUAGAUAGUGAUGAGGCUAGAAACAGUGAUUUCCGCUUGUAAUCCCAGCAUUUUGGGAGGCCAAAGUGGGAGGAUCUCUUGAGCCCAGCAGUUUGAGACGAGCCUGGGCAACAUAGUGAGAUUCAGUAUCUACCAAAAAUUUAAAAUUCGCUAGGCUUGGUGGCAUGCACCUGUAGUCCCAGCUAUUCAAGAGGCUGAGGUGGGAGGAUUGCUUGAGCCCAGGAGUUUGAGGCUGUAGUGAGCCACGAUUGGGCUCCUGCACUCUAGCCUGGGCAACAGAGCGAUGACACCCUGUCUCUUAAAUAAAUAAAUAAAAAUAACAAAAAGUCAUGGCUAAAUUUGUGAUACAUUUCAGAUUUUGAAAUAGCUUCAGUUAUUGAGUGUUUACUAUGUAUAAGCCACUUAAUUUUCCUACCCUUUCAAAGUAGGCAGUGAUGACAUUAUACCUGAGGAAAUGGAACUCAGAGAGGUUUUUUAACUUGCCCCAGCUCAGGUGGCUAUAGGGACAAGGUUACCACGCGCACAGUGGGUUCUGCUGGAGGUGGAAUCUGCCUGUGCUGGUGUCUCCUACUCUGACGUGCAUCUCUUAUGGAGGAAUUUGACUCAAUUUUUUUCUACUCUCACUCUCCUUUUUUUUGGUGUUAGAAAAAGUGAAAUCACCUCUAUUUGAAGGAGGGGAUCAUGGAUAAGAUUUGACCAGGUUUCAGUUGUGAUUUGAUGGCAUAUUUGGAAAUUUUGUGGAAAAACCUGGGUUAAUUUUUCAGGAAAUCACAGUCAAAAAAAAAAAAAAAAAAAAAAAAGAGAGACUUUGCUUCCCUGUAGAUUGUUUCAGUCCUGGUGGUGUCUUUUGAGAUAGUGAAGAGCAUAGUUGAAAAAGUGGAAACUGAUGAUGCUUUAGCUUUUAUUGUUUUUUAAACAUUCUGGGAAAGCUGAAGGGAAAGGCAACUUCUGCUAUGCUUCUACUGAAAGUGAUAUUAACGUUAAAAAUCGGUGUCAUUGUUUUUCUGCUAGAGUGAGCUUUAUAUUUCUUUUUUCUUUUUUUUUUUUUUGGAGACGGAGUCUUGCUCUGUUGCCAGGCUGGAGUGCAGUGGCGCGAUCUCGGCUCACUGCAACCUCCGCCUCCUGGAUUCAAGCAAUACUCCUGCCUCAGCCUCCUGAGUAGCUGGGAUUACAGGCAUGCGCCACCACGCCCAGCUCAUUUAUUUUUGUAUUUUUAGUAGAGACAGGUUUUACCAUGUUUGCAAGGAUGGUCUCCAUCUUUUGACCUCCUGAUCUGCCCGCCUUGGCCUCCCAAAGUGCUGGGAUUACAGGUGUGAGCCACCGUGUCCGGCCGAGCUUUAUAUUCUUGAAUAUUGGAGUCACCUCUGCUCACCAGCAUAUAGACCGAGACAUAGAGUAUGUUGUUAGACUCUAAAACAGAAACGGCAUUAAUUUGCAUAAAAUCGCAUAUGCUCUGUUGCAAUAAUUUUCAUUGUGCCUGUUUUAGAAUUGAGUUGACACUUCAUACGGAGUAUUCCAACUCAAUUAAAAAAGAGACAUCGCAGAAAGAAGAAUUUGUGUGGCUUUGAAAUUUAUUUUGGGCACAGUCCCUGAAAGAAAUGAGCCUCUAAGGACUUUUGUUCUUUGUGGUGUUUUGAAACCUUCUCCCCAGUUAUAUACAUUAAGAACACGUAGAGCAGGUUGGGGUUGGUCUGCUAUAUAGAGUGCCUGCAAAGGGACCAGAGGUCUGCCGGAACAAGAGUCUCUUAGUGCAGUGCCUCCCGCCGGGGGGUGACCUUUUCAUGAUGUUUGGACUGUCAUCUUUGUUUUCCCAGUUUCAAAUGCCUAGCUCAGAAUUACUUAGCGCUUGAAGUGGUUUUCAUCUUCAAAGGACUUUAUGGACAUUAUUUAAUAUACAUGACACUGUGUAAUGAAUGAGCUGUUUAUCCCUUGAGCAGCGUCAACAUGCCAGGUGCCAUACAGCUGGAGAAGACAAAAAUAAUACUCUGUCCAGUGGGAGUUUAUAGUCUAAAGGGGCAAGAUGAUUAGGCAGAUUCUCUCUUUUGGCCUCUUUUAAAAAUGUACUGGGGAAUAAUGUAGAAAUUAAAAUUAUAAAAGAUGAUCUACUAGCUCAAGUCUACCUAAUUGAAAUUGCCCUCAAGGUGAAAAUGAAAUUCGAGAUGCUCUUAAAAAGACAUCAUGUAUUAGCUCCCAUUUAUCACACAUUUACUGGUACACAGCCUAUUUUACUUGUGUUACAGGUGAGGAAUUUGGUGAAGACUAGUGCAGAAUUAUUCUCAGAUUUCCUUCCCUACUCGUCCCUUUCUCCCACUGAAGCUUCUCUUUUUGUUUGCAUGGUCUAGGAUGGCACUUUGUAACCAAGGCCACACGUGAGGCCCAAACAUACAUUUAUUAUUUUUUUUGAGAUGGAGUCUCGCUCUGUCGCCCAGGCUGGAGUGCAGCGGUGUGAUCUUGGCUCACUCUAUCUUCUGCCACCUGGGUUCAAGCGAUUCUCUUGCCUUAGUCUCCUUGUAACUGGGAUUACAGGCAUGCGCCACCACACCUGGCUAAUUUUUGUAUUUUUGUAGAGAUGGGGUUUCACCAUGUUGGCCAGGCUGGUCUUGAACUCCUGACCUCCAGUGAUACACCCGCCUUGGCCUCCCAAAGUGCUGGGAUUACAGGUAUGAGCUACCACGCCCGGCUCAAACACACAUUUCUUAGUUGCAGAUCAGCCUGUCCUUUGUAGCUGGACGGACCUCCUGGGAAACUUGGACUUCUUGCCCCUGUUGGCCUGUGUGUCUUGUGCUCUUAUACCUGUACCUCUUUGUGUUUGCUGUUCCCUCCUCUUCCUGGUUUCCCUUUCUAACUCAGCUCAAACAUCCUUUCCUUUGGAAAACUGCACUUGACCAUCCUGUCCCAGCCUCUUGAGGCCCAUUGGUGUUGGCAUGGCACCUUGUGAGAACAGGAUUCUGGACUGGUUCCUUUGGGUUAUAAUUGUUCCUUCACUUGUGAGUUCGAGUUGCUGGGACCUCUGACUGCAGCGCCGGCCCAGAGCAGGCCCCAAGUAGAAGUGCAGUAGAUGCUUGUGAUUUAUGCCUGUGGUUCCUUAACUCAGAUCGUAUCAUAAUUACGUGGAAAGUUUUCUUUAAAAAUACAGAAUCCCUAGAGAUUCUGAUUUAGUGGUUCUAGAUUAGGCCCAUAGAAUAUGUAUUUUGCAAAAACUCUACUUGUAGUUUGUUUUGAGACAGCGUCUCACUGUCACCCAGGCUAGAGUUCAGUGGCAUGAUUAUGGCUUACUGCAGCCUUUACCUUCCGGGCUUAGGUGAUCCACCCACCUCAGCCUCCUGAGUAGCUGGGAUUGCAGGUGUAUAUACCACUAUGCCUGGCUAGUUUUUUGUAGAAAUGGGGUCUUGCCAUGGAGGCCAGGCAGGUCUCAACCUCCUGGACUCAAGCCAUCUGCCCGUCUUGGCCUCCUGAAGUGCUAGGAUUACAGGUGUGAACCACCAUGCCUGGUCUCUACUGGUAAUUUAGAUGCACAGCUAGGUUUAGGAACCACCGAGUUAUGCCAAGGCACAGUAUUAGUUGUGGGUUAUGGAAUCAUGGCCAAUUUGGAGUAAGGUGUAAGUGCAGUUUGCAGAAUCAUUCCAUUCACAUUUCUGGAGAGAGUGGAGAAAAUGAAUGCAGUGCCUUUAUGAUGAGGAUGUGCUCUGUGAAGGAGAAGAUCCUGGCUUGUGGAAGAGCUUCCUGCUCUGUGAACAUACUGAAGGCACAAUUGGCCCUUCAAACUCUCAUUUGAAGUCACUGUGUUGCCAUAGAGAUGUUGUGUAGUGUUGAAGGAGAUUAGAGAAAUCAUGUCGUAGAUUAUCAGAACAGAUGGCUUGUAAUUUAACACUCUUCUAGCCCAUAUUCUUUGUACUGACACUUGAGAACAUUGAAGGUAUCAGUUUUUACUUUGUUCUUUUACCUAUAAAAAUGGCAGAGUUCAUAUUGAGUAAGAUCUAAAAUGGGUAUUAUAUAUGCCACAUACACAAUGUGGUAUGUGAAAGCGUUUUAGGAGUGGCUUCCUUAACUUUGCUUGUAUAAUUUGUUACUUUUUCCCCUCAGUUCCCUGGAUAGAUAGAAUAAUAAGCCUGUCUUCCUUAUUAUUUUGAUAGCACUGGUCAGGGAUCAUUUUUAUCUCCUGGCUUGAUAAUAAUCGUGUUCCUGUGCAAGUGCAGUUCUGCUUGCGAGUAUUAUAUGAUCAUGUAGAUUGAGGCAGCAUAGUCACUUCCAAGGUGUUUUUAUAUGUCAUCAACCACAUAAAGGGUAUUUUCUUUUCUUUUGAGACAGUGUCUCUCUCUGUUGCCCAGGCUGGCGUGCAGUGGCACGAUCUUGGUUCACUGCAGCCUCCACCUCCCAGGUUCAAGCAGUUCUCCCGCCUCAGCCUCCUGAGUAGCUGGGAGUACAGGUGUGCACCACCACGCCUGGCUAAUUUUUGUUUUUUGUUUGUUUUUUAAAUUUUACUUUCAGUUCUGAGAUACAUGUGCAGAACGUGCAGGUUUGUUACAUAGGUAUACACAUGCCGUGGUGGUUUGCUACACCUAUCAAGUCAACAUCUAGGUUUUAAACCCCACAUGCAUUAGGUAUUAGUCCUUAUGCUCUCCCUCCCUUUGCCCCCCGUCCCUGGGCAGGCCCUGGUCCGGUGUGUGAUAUUCCCCUCCCUGUGCCCAUAUGUUCUCAUUGCUCAACUCUUACUUAUAAGUGAGAACAUGUGGUGUUUGAUUUUCUGUUCCUGUGUUAGUUUGCUAAGAAUGAUGGCUUCCCACUUCAUCCAUGUCCCUGAAAAGGACAUGAACUCAUUCUUUUUUAUGGCUGCAUAGUAUUCUGUGGUGUAAAUUUCAUAUUUUUAUAGAGACGGGGUUUCACCAUGUUGGCCAGGCUGGUCUUGAACCACCUGCCUCAGCUUCUCAAAGUGCUGGGAUUAUAGGUGUGAGCCACCAGGCCUGGCCAACUAAAGCGUAUUUUCUAAAAGGAGACUUCUUUGAAAUUUUUUCUGUCUCUUUAUUCUAGCCUGGGACUUAUGUGUAAGUCUUAAAAGAUUGUAUCCUUCAUUAAGGACAACUAUUGCCUCUUGCAGGGAGCCGCAUCCUGAUUGGGAUUCUGGCACAUUCACACAUGCACAUUGUUGUAGAUGACCAGAGUAGAUAUGUACCUAAAACAUUUCAAAUUAGCAAAAUCAUAAUCCUGUUAGUGUAAUUUAAAAAUCUAGUAAAACUUACCUUAUUUUUAAAGUACUUGUAGUUAGACAUAUAUUAACACGACUAUUUCAUAUGGUUUUAUUCUCGCAUGCUUGAAGUAUUCAGGAAUCUUAAACAGGCUCUCCCUACAUACAUUUUCAUGAGCCUCAUUUCUUAUGUGUCAUACAGUAGGAAAGUAAGUAAGUUUUCCGAUCUCCAAAUAAUUCCUGAGUUGCUCUUGUGUGAAUGUGUGUUUUAACUGAAUCCAGACAUUCAUAGUAGUGAGCACUUUCUUUGACUCCUUUUUUACUAGCCUACACUACUUAUACUAAUGGGGGUUUCUGAUGCCACUCAGCAGUGGGACAGAGAGGUCAGUUGUGAGCCUGACCCUGUUGGAUGUAGCAGUUUUUACCUCAUGAUGACACAUUCACGUGACUUAAAUUCUUUGACACUUCUGUGUCAGUGCUAGAAAAUUUUUUAUAAAAGUUCUAGGUAAUUAUAUCAGAAAGCAUCUGAAAAACAGUCUUAUCAGAAGGGCUUAGGACCAUUACAGGAGUGAGGGAAAUAGUGUGGAAAUAAGCUAUAAUUUCCUUGAUGAGCAUGUCAUACUACAAGACAAGGUUGGCUCAACCUCCUGGUAACUGUCCUGCAGCAGAAUGGGCUAGCUGCAGCUUAAAUAAAUUGGCAUCAGAUUGCCUGGGUAUUGAAUUGCAUGGCUUCAGGAGAGGCUGUUUGGUUCUGUAAAGCCACAUGUCAUGGUAGUGAGGUGAGACUGAUGGUAAUAUUUGUUCAAGAAUCCGAUUUUCAUUGAGGGCACAAAGGCUCUGUUGUGCCAAGCUCAGGAUCUUGUUUUCCUGAGAUUGCUUCAGGCAGAUUUAAACAAUGGCCUCUCAACCUACUGGAUUUAAAGAGUAAGUAGUUCUCCAUGAUGUUAUUUCUCAUUAGUAGGCAAAUGUAAACUUUUACCUUUGGUCAAAAUUUUGUUCCUGUCAACUGACCCCCUGGUGUCAUUAUGAUUGUCUUUUCCUUGUAGUAUUGCCUUGUCAGUUACUCUUGCCAGAGGAAUUUCAUCAUUGGAGUAUCUGCAUGUCUAAGUCCAGUUCAGCUCUUCACAUAUAGGCCCCAUGCCCUGAAGUGUUGCUGUCAUUUUGCCUGUUUAGUUACUUUACAAACAUUAAUGGCAUGUAAGGCCCCUGAGAACCCUGGGUCUGGAACAGGCACAGGCCACAGAACAGAUGGGCCUUGCCAGGUGGUCCUUGGGUGCACAGUGGCUGUGGAGCUGACAUCUCUCAACAAAGGAAGGGCACUCUCAGGGAAAUCAAAUGGAUCAAAGCCGUCCCCCUACCUGUGUUGCCCCUUUAAGCUUCCCAGUAGCUCUACUUUUAUUUUUAUUUUAUUUCAACUUUUAUUUUAGAUACAGGGGAUAUACGAGCAGAUUUGUUAUGUGAGAAUAUUGCUUGAUGCUAAGGUUUGGAAUAUGGAUCCCGUCACGCAGGUAGUGAGCAUAGUACCUGAUGAGUAGUUUUUAAACCCACACCCUCACCCUCUGGUAGUCCACAGUGUCUGAUGUUCCUAUAUUUAUGUCCAUGCAUCCUUAAUGUUAGCUCCCACUUACAAGCGAGAACAUGCAGUAUUUGGUUUUCUGUUCCUGUGUUAAUUAAGAUUAUGGCCUCCAGUUCCAUCCAGGUUCCUGCAAAAGACAUGAUUUCAUUCUUUUUUCAUCGAUGCGUAGUAUUCCAUGGUGUAUAUGUACCACCUUUUCUUCAUCCAGUCUACCAGUGGUGGGCACGUGGGCUGACUUAAUGUCUUUGAUGUUAUGAAUAGUGCAGCUGUAUUUUUAUUUUAUUCUUCCUGUUGACCCUUUGUCUGUCUUUCUGAGGCUUUGUGUCUCUGUGGACCUUUCAAAGGGACUUCCCUUUGUUUAGGAGAAUGACUCAUCCUGAGGUCAUUCUUAACCUUUCCUUGGGAAGGUAUUUAGCCCUUCGCAGACAGAGCUGCAUCUGCCCAGAAGUAAGCUUUUUCAUAAAGGCCCCUGGAUCCCAGGUGCCCUCCUGCACAGUGAACUCUACCGGUGGUGUCAUUCUUAGCCUUGUGGGUCUGGGUUUCCCAGCCCCCAGAGGUAGGAACGCCAACCAUCCUGGGAUGGUAGGUAGCCGCUAGGCCCACAUGGACUGCACCCAGACCUGCUGAGUGAAUGAAUGCCUUUCUUCUGUAAAUGGACUCCUUACCAUUCUGUUUUAGCUCCUCGCUUUCUCAUUUCUUCCUUUCUCCUGCAUUUCUCUUGUCUCUCAUUCUUCUUUGACCACUUAAGAGUGACAGUGCCACUCAUGGCCAUUGCCCACUGCUAAACUGUGCUGGAGGCAGUUAGAGAUAAGUCUGAUUUCUGGGGCAGGAAUUUAGGGGGAUGCUCCCAGUGGAGAGUCUGUUGGAUUCUGCAUUAGCACCUCACUACAGACUUCAGCUGGGGGUAAGCCGUGCCUUGGGGGCACCCCCUUCUUUUCUGCCCCAAGGCCCUGGGUCUGAGCCUGUCUUCUUCUGCAUGUCCCCUUCCUGCCUCUCAGGCGUCCCGUCACUUAGUGGGGUCUCUUGACAAUUCCCUUUCUGCUUGAUCCCAAUCCCCUUUAAGCACAGUUUUGUCUAAUUUAAAAUUUGCAUUUUAUGGUGAUCUUAAUAAAUUUGGCUUAGCAAAUAAGUGUGAUGCUUCUUAAUUUCGGGGUAAUUUAAUCCCUUCUUCUAAAUUGUGGUAUAUUAUUCCUUAAAAGUCAUUUUGGCUCAGUUGCCCUGGCGUCAUGUGAUUUCUUCUUGAUGUUUUCUUUUCCGAGCUGCAGUUCACGUUGAGGUUAACUCCUACUCAUCCCUCUGCCCCGAGUGCUCAGCACAUAGUCAGUGCUUAGUAAAUGUUCGCCAAAAGCAAGAACAAGCGCUUGCUGCAUCCCCAAGUCCAGUGGCCAGUUUCCCUGUCUGUCUCAGGAGGCUGGUGUGACGUGGUAACUAUUGAGCCAGCAAACCUGGGCCAGAGGCUGGGCCAUUUUAUGGUGUAAUGUCCUCUCCAGUAGAAAUUCAUGAGAGGGGAAAAAGGAGAAAGGGAGACAGUAGAUUCAUGGAUGAGGUGUGCGUGUCUGUGGAAUAUGGGCAUAGGCAGCAGUGGAGAAGGGAGGUCUCAGCAAAAGCAGCUGCCCCUGUUUGUUGGGCUGUGUUCACUUGGCUGCUGUGGAUCUAACUGCUGUUCACUGUUAAUAAUUAGUCCUCAAGCGCCCAUUCUUGGGCUUAUGUCUUCUGUGCACUUCCUCAGUCUCUAGAUUGACCAGGCUCCCCGUGGACCCUAAUUAAUAUUUUCUGACCGAUCACUGGGUUUGAUCAGUCAAUGGAGGGUGAAGAAGCAUCCAUUAUCAGGUUUCCUUUGAGAUUUAAGAUCUAGUUGGCUCUGGUGUUUCUAUUCUGUGUUAAUGAGUUGAUUUCUGUUUCCUCAUGAGUGGGCUGUGGAACAGUAACUCUGGGGGGAAGAUGGCAUUGGUAAGAUUUGCUAAGUUCUUGGGUAUAUUUUUACAGGAGUAUGUUCCAUGAGCCCAUUAAGAAUGUUCCAGGUCUUGCCCUGUCUCCCCAUUUCCAUACUUCACUUCCAUUUUUAGGACUUCUCCCCAACGUCAAAACUUUAUUUACACGAACCUGAAAGCAGGCUGCAGGGCUGUUUGAAAUCACACACGUCAAUAUGAGGCCAACCCAGUUUUUCAUAAAUAGGUCAGAUUGUUUCUAUAAAGCAGGAUUCCAAAAACAGUCUUGUUAAAGAAAAAGUAUUUUAAGAAAAGAUACCCAUUGUUUAAAUCUUAACCCUGUCGCUAGGGCUUGGGAUAAUACUAGUACUAGAAAAUGCUGAUUUCUGGGGCCUGCCUUGGAAGAACUGAGACUUGCCCCAGACAUGAUGAAGAGAAAGCUUGCAGGCCACAUGGACUAAGGUGGGGAUAGGUGUGAGUCAGAGGCUGGGCAAGGGCCCCUAAGGAGCUCUUGGUGCCCUUGAAGAGGAGCGUGGUUCUGGGUGGGUGCACCAUGAAGGGCUGUUACUGGCAGCAUUCACUAGUCCCCCCGACCCACCACCAGUGGAACAAGUACCCUUGCUUUACCUAAAUAAUGAACAUUCAUUUCUUACUUAGUAGAGAUUGACUUAAAUCAUUUUAAUUGUGCUUUUUAAUCUAUAUAUCAGAAUCAUCUGAUAAUUGUGUGAUACUGAGGAGGUAUUUAAGCCAUAGCAAAUCAGGAAGGGAAGAAGCUAAGAUGGGGUUUACAAGAUAGUUCUUCACAUGUGUCUGAAAUUAGUACCCCUAAGAAUGUUACUAAUUUCUGGCAGGAUCCCUGGAAAAGUUUCUAGAACAAUUGGAAAAGAAGCCAGAAUAGCUGUGAAAAAUGGCGGUGUUCACAAGUGUAAACACUCACAGCCUCACACUCAAGUGUGUCAUCCUGAAGUCAGUUCAAUGCUCUCACUGAUUUCAUGGACCUUAUCAUCCGUGAGAAUUGGAUAUGUCAUGUGUUUAAUUCAUGACCGAGUUUUAUGUGCUGUUCAUUCACUUGAAGAAGUUUACCCUGAAAUCCCCCAAAUAGGGGGGUCCCACAUAGGUGAACUAAAUAGGCUCUCUAGAAGUACAUUACUUGUCAUAUUUUUAAAAUAGGAGAUUCCUAAGUGGAUCUGGCUGUUGGCCAACAGAAUGAGACUUACACAACCUGAUAUAAAUCGGUUCAUUUCUCCUUGUACUGUAGUUGAUUUUCAGAAGGAUUGAUGUCCAAUUUAUUGUUUCUCUGCAGCAGAAUGACUUGUAUGGCUCUGGGUGCUGUUUUCUAUUGCUGUGUUUGUGGUGCAUGUCUUCUUCCUGUUUCUUCUGAUUCUGCGUUCUGCCCUUUUUAGCUAGCAUUCAGUUGGUUUGGCUUUAUUUGACUUCUUUGACUUGGUGAGUGCCAUGGUUUGUGAGUUAUGCUAUCAUUUGUGGUUUAAACAUUUCAGUUUUUUGUUACUAUAUGUCCAUCUAUGUGGCCAUCUUCUCAUUUUAAUUACCGAUCCACGUGUCAGCUUGCUUUUUGGAAAUAGUGUUGUAGUGCAAAUGUGUCUUUGAAAGUGUCACCGAGAAACCCAAGGUCUGUCUGGCAUUCCACUCCUGGCGGCAGACCGUAGUCUUUGUCCACGGGUUGGGAAGAGAGCUGUGAAACAGGGAGGCCUUGCCGACUGUCCUACCUGCAAUCUGGACUUUGCACAUGGAGCCUCUACUUAGGGGAUUAUUUUUUUGACUACUGCUGUUUGAUUUGGCUUUUUAAUUGGGUUAUCUGAGGUGAAUGCAUGGCUUAAAUUUCUCGUUCUUUGUGUUGGACAGAAUUAAAGGGAAAUUUGAGACAUCCUUGUCUACUUUUGUUCAACUCCAUUAUAUUCUUUCUUAAUGGGCAAUAAGACUGCCUUUUUUUUUUUUUUCACUUUUCUCUUUUUUAGAUGGAAGGUUCCCCAUUUUUAUUUUUACAUCAUGUUCUCAUACAGUUUUCUUCAACAGUACCAAGAGUUGUAUUUUUAAGAAAGUGUCUCUAUAUUUCCUUUGCUUUUGUAGGACUGUGUCAUUUCUGAUGAUCAUUAAUUGGUAUGCCUAACUCUCCCCUUUGACCCAGGUAUUAUUAAUAUUGACUGAAAGGUGGAAAAUUUCAAAGAUGGAAAAUUUGGGUUGCUGCUCUGUCUUUACCAUUGAGUCCCAGGAAAUAACUUGCCCAGUUUCAUAAAUUCUUAGACGUUGGUUUCUCUUGUGAUUGUCAAGUCUUUGGUGUUCUUUGCUUUAUUCACCUGGACCACUUGAGUUGUUAUUCGUCAAACACAUGUCUGUGACAUGAAGUGUAACUUGUUCACCCUUACUUUGUGCAGUGGUGGUAAUAAAAUUGUUUUAAACCUCUUAAUUAUGGUUUUUCAUGUUGGAUUCACUGUGAGUUCUUAAAAAAAAGGAUCACCCACUGAUAGAUCCAAAUCUACCUUUGGAAAAUUAAAGUGAUAAGCACUUAAUGGCAUUUUCGGAUUAGCUUGAGAAUAUCUGUAAGUUGAUUGUACUUGAAGCAUACAGUUGUGACGAUCUGUAGAGUGAUGUGGUAAUUAGGCAAAGCAUUUUGGAAAGGCUCUAUUACUAAAAACAAGUGGUAGCUAGUUUUCAUAGGCAAAGGAGACAGUCUUUUAGAAAAGCGGGGUUCCAGGUGAUUUAAUGGAAAGCCAUGAAGUUGGGGAGAGGGAGAGGGAAAAGGUGAAAGAAGAUCUGAAGUCAGGCUGCCUGGCAGGCACCGAGGGAAUUGACUUACGGAGCUCAUCUGUAAUCCUGGGAUGCGUUUUCUUUAUUUUAUCCAAACCAGUGAUUUCUGUUAUAACAUGUUUGGAAAGCCUUUUUUCUUUUUUGGUAAGUUUCCUACUGGACAUAUAAAAGAGACUAAUAAAAAAGUUCUUUGUGAGAGCUUUAUAAUAUAGAUAAUAUCUAGCUUUUUUCUUUCAUAAUUAAAAAAUUCAGUGGAGAGAUUGUAGUAGUUUGUAUAUACUGUAGUUAGAAAGGUUUGGUUUUGUUUAAAAUUUUUGUACAUUUGCUUUUGGUAAUCUUUAGUUGCUUGAACCCUUCACCCUUCAGUUUAACUGUUAUUUAAAACAAUCUUUGAUUCUUACUCAUGCAUUGAACAUUGCUGAGAACCUGCUAUGUGCUAAACAGUCACUAAAAGUAAAGCUUCUCUCUUUCUUUUUUUUUUUUUGGAGACAGUCUUGCUUUGUCACCCAGCCUGGUGCAGUGCAGUGGUGCAAUCUUGGCUCACUGCAACGUCCACCUCCUGGGUUCAGGUGAUUCUCCUGCCUUAGCCUCUCGAGUAGCUGGGAUUACAGGCGUGCUCCACCAUGCCUGGCUAAUUUUUGUACUUUAGUCGAGACGGGGUUUCACCAUGUUGGCCAGCGUGGUCUGGAACUCCUGACUUCAGUGAUCCUCUCGCCUCGGCUUCCCAAAGUGCUGGGAUUACAGGAGUGAACCUCUGCGCCUGGCUCGAGAUGUAAUAUAUUCUCUUGAAAGAUAAUAUUACAUCUAGGGAAAUAUCUUUAUCACUUUAUUUAACUAUUUACAUUGAAAAUACUAGAACAAAAUAUAAGUACCUAUUUGUUUUUAACUUAAUAUAAAAUUUCAGUGUUAGAUGAAAUGAAGAUGGAAUAUUAACAACGUAUAAAUAAUGAAAAAUUACUGAAACUUGACUCUGUUUUAGCAUUCCAAAUCUUAAAUUAUAUUCCUUGCCCUAAAAUCAGAUAUCAUGAAGAUAUUUUGGGUGAACAGUUGGAAAUUGUUACAGUCCUAGAGUAUUAAAGAUACCAAGAACAUUCAGAGGAUGCACCCGAGCCUGACUUGCCCAAGAAAAUAAGUAAAUCAUUUAGUUUGUCACUUCAGUUUGCAUGACUACAAAGAACUGUACGCGCAGUGAAUUAUUACAUUGUUGUAGAGGAAACAAAAUAUUUUAUAAUAGUUUGCCAAAAAUAUCAUGCCAUUAUGAGAAAAACCUGUUGACUAAGUCGGCCUUUGGUCACAGUAAAUAAUCACGGCUUUUGACCAAAACUGCAGGAAUGUAAAUCUACGUUUUUCAGUGUUUGAAAGACUUUAAAAUUGCACCAUAUAAGGUAAUGCUUUGUAUGGUGCAAUUUUAUAACAUUUGAAUGUAGACCAUAAGCUGAUGAGCCGGAGGUCAAAAUUAGAUAGCUGUAAAUUACUUGGGCUAAUGAAGGACAAAGGUAGAGUUUAGCCAAAAACUGUUCUUAUGUAGUCUUAUCACCGGUGGUGGUACGGAUGGAUAUCACCCACAGAGGUGUGGGUAGGUUGCUUCAGAAUUAAUUUUUAAAGAAAUCAUUAAGUAAUAGAGUAUCUGAAACUGGACUGUGUUUAAGGACUACUUGGUUGCUGUUGCUGGGUAUUAUUCAGUCUUAAGCUUCUUCCCUGGUUAUAAAAUUAAAAAGCCAGAAAGAGACGGUGGGGAGGAGCGGGGUGGGGAUGGUCAGUGGUUAGUAGAUAUGUGGACCUAGAGUAGCCUUUCAGCCAGUUUGGGUUGUGAAAUACUGCUGAGUGCUUAUGUGGCCAAGUUCUGUAGUUAUAGAAGAUUAUGUGUACACACUCUAUUUUCCAUUUUGCAAAAGUGAGCAAAGAUAUCCUUGUAUGCAAAGUGUCAUAAUCGCAUUCUAACUUAUGUUUUGAAAGAAUUACAUACACCUGCAGGUAAGUUGAGUAGUGCAUUGAGCAUCUGAAUACCCUUUCCUUCAAUUCACUGUUAAUUUUUUGCCAAUCUGUUCUCUCUCUCUUUUAUAUUCCUUAGGACACUAAUAAGCACCGCAGCAUUACCAAGCUGUGAGUUACUUUUGCUUGAAGUCAGUGUCAGUUAGGUUUUAGAAAGAUUGUGCAUAUUUUUGUUUUAAUUUGUCUUUAGGGCUGAUUUUGGGCUUAAAAAUACCUCUGUAACUGAAUAGCCAAGCAGUACUUGCCCCUGAGAAGCAGGAAGUGCAGCAGACUUAGGAGUAGAAAUGCAUGAACAAAUCUAGCAUCUUGGUUGAAAUUGACUAAAGUUCUAAAAUAACUAAACAGUGUCACAGAGAGUAGUGACAUUCAGACUCAUCUCAGAAGCAGUGGCUCCUGUCUUCUGAGUGACAGUCACUCUCAAGUAGCAGUCAGAGUGUUGACUAGGCACACAGAAUAAAGCCCCUUCUGUUGAAGAACUGGCUUAAUGGAGUGGGACAGGUUAACAACAGUUGAUUAAACCAAAACACAACUCUAACCAGGCAGAAACACAUUUGGUCACAAUAACAGGGGAGAUGAUAUCAAACCAGAGGGUUGUGGCCAUGCAGUGAAGUGCAGAAUUAGAGGUGGAGCCUUCGUAGCAUCACUGAGGUGGAAGGCUGUUUCAAGACCAUUGGAUUCAGUUAAGCAAAUGAGCUGUAGAAUGUGGGUAAGCUGAGGGAUAAGUAAUCCCAUCCUUUACGAAACAGAUUUUUUGGAGGUGGAACUGGAUACAGCAAAUUUUACAGUAUAUAGAAUGACAUAGGUGCUAUCUUGAGGCAGGUGUCAUAUCCUUGAGCCUGCUGAGAGAUCAGAGUGGACUCUAGAAGAGCUGGCCUUUGAGUGGGAUUGUGAAAGAUCAGCGGUGGAGCAAAUAGUCACUCAAGCCUGCAACUUAGGGUAUAGGGAGGAAUGGGGUGGCCCACCCACCAGCCCCUCUGAUGGCUUCUGAACAUUUGCAAGCAGCAAAAUCUUUUUAAAAAAUUCUUGUUUCAGGGGAAGUUGAUCACUAUGCAUAGGUAAUUAUGAGAACUGUUACGGUUGGGGUGGUGAGAAGUCUUCCUCCCCUUCCCCUCAGCCCCUAGGAGAUCCAGGAGUAUAAAUCGCUGAACAGUCAUCUCAGAUGCUCACAUUGUAUGUUCUUUUUUUUCGUUUUUUGUUUUUUUUUGGCGGGGGGGUGGGGGUUAUUUUUUUGAGACAGAGACACAAGCUGGAGUGCAGUGGCGAGAUCUAGGCUGAUCUAGGCAACCUCCACCUCCCAGGUUCAAGUGAUUCUCCUGCCUCAGCCUCCCGAGUAGCUGGGACUACAGGCAUGCACCACCAUGCCCGGCUAAUUUUUUGUAUUUUCAGUAGAGACGAGCUUUCACCAUGUUGGUCAGGCUGGUCUCCAACUCCUGACCUCAGGUGAUCCGCCCGCCUCAGCCUCCCAAAGUGCUGGGAUUACAGGUGUGAGUCACCGCACCUGGCCUGGUAUGUUCUUAAGUAUUCUGUGGGCCACUAAUAAAAAUCACCUUGUCUUCAUUUACAGAAGCAAUAAGCCCACUGUUUUUUUGUUUGUUUGUUUUUGUUUUUUUUGUUUUCCCUAGGAGGCUAUGGGCAAUAAGGACAAGGAUUGGGGGCACCCUUCAUUUCAGUAAGAACAGAAUCGAAGAGCUCUAUGCUUAGGACAGAUUAAGAGACCGACUUCACCCACUUAGGCUGAUAAUGUAAUUUUGAUUUUCUAUGUUUGCUUAUUGCUAAUUAAAAGCAGUAACACUGAUAGAAGAGCACAGAGGUUUGCUUUGUUUUCCACAUGUAAAUUAGAAGCAUCUGUCUCUGUGACUGUUACUCUCCUGUAGUGGUCAGUAUAAAUGUAGAGCCACAUGCUGUCUGUAUGUCUUGGCUGUUCUCUUGAAAUACCCAAUAAUGCUGCCCAAAUGGCCAGCAGUGAGCACCAGCGGCUGCAAGUCCGCUUACACAAGGCUGUCGUAGGAAAGUAAGACAGAGAAAUAUGUCUGCUGACAUGUAAGGUCACUAAAGUAUAGAUUCUUCGUGUACUGUUUGGAAAGAUCCACUUUAUAGAGCUGCUGAUUUAUGGAGAAGUGAGCACUAGUUGCCUUCCACCUGUGUGGUUGUAACCCUCUGUGGCUGUGGUUGUUAACAGUCCCCAUGUUGAGCAGGAGCAUGCAGAGUUUGCCCUAGGCUUUCGGAGCCUGACUUAGUUAAGGCACUUUUGGUUGCUGGAGCAAAAAAGGAAAAUUAUUUUCAGAGUAAAGAAUCCUCUGAGCUAACCCGAGGGAAGGUGGCAUAACCCCACCUCACCCCAAGAGGAAUUGCUGUGAGUGGGAACAGGCAGGCCCCAGCAAAGCUGCUCCAAGUUUGUUUCUGUUUCCUGUUUCUCCCUAGGGGUCGGCUUUAUGCCCGCCUGCCUCUCUGUCUACCCAGUCAACUUUCUGUCACCUUCCUAGUUCAAGACAGGAUUGAUGAGCAACCCUGAAAAGUUUCACAUUUCUCAUGGUCACGUGAUGGGUCAGGCCAUCUGGUCAGCUGUCAUCAGGGACAUGCACAACACCCACAAGGCUGCAGGCCUGAACCCUUGCCCCAGAGAAGAUUCUGCCACAGAGUUUAUGGCCCCAGUUAAGAAGAUGUUCUUUGAUCACUUUUUGUGACAUUCCCUCCACAGGUAGAGGUCAGAUCACCAAAUAAAUAAUAGUAUCUAGAGUCAGGGAUUUUAGUCUGCAGUCAAGACCUAUGAAUUUUUGUAGGAAAUAAAUGAAUUAUAUCUUUAUUUUCAUGGAUCUCAAAUAAAAUACAGCAUUUCUUUCAAUUGUGAAUGUAGUUCUGGUAGUAUCUGUGACUUUUCACCUGUGGAUACUGCAGAUAUUUUUAAUUGACAUUAAUUAUUACAGAUCUCAAAAUAUUGUUCAUGCUCAUCACUUCAAAACUAUAGUAGUUACUAGAAUGACUGCUAGAUCUUUUCAUUUAAUGUGUGGUAAAGACGCACAUAUUACUUUAAAAUCUUUUGAUCAUUACUAGUUUUUUAGAUAUAAUUGGUUUUCUGUUUAAGUCUCUCGAUUCACUUAAAAACAGUGUUCUGAGAAGAGCUCCGUAAGUUUCACCAGAUUGCCACUAGUUAGAAAUAUACUACUCCCCCAAAAUUGCUGGUUGGAAUUGAGAUUACAGUUUUCUCUUUAUGGCUGUUAGGAUUCAAAUUUUUCGUUUUUAAGUUUUGAGAUACAUGUGCACAAUGUGCAGGUUUGUUACAUAGGUAUACAUGUGUAGGAUUCAAAUGCUUUCUAAAAGGUGUUUUCUAAUUCCUUUCCAGUUUUUUCCACUCCUUACUUAGAACUUCUUUGUCCCUUUCAGCAAUUCCUACUUCCUUUUAUGUUUUAAUAUCUAGUAAUAGAUUCCAUUUUUUUUUUGCUUUUUGCUACAUAAAUUAUACAUUCUUUGGAGCUAAAGAUUCUAGAUUAUUACAGUAUUGAAAGUUAGAGAUAUGUCUAGAUACAAAACUAGAUCUUAGAACAUAACCCCAGAUGGGGAAGCACCAUAUAUUUUGCAAGCUUGUGUUUCUCAAGGUUAGAAAUGAUGAGACUCAGAAUAAAGCUUACUUAUAUCGACCUGGGCAUUUUAAAUAAAACUAGUUUUAUUUAAAACUAGUCACAUUGAAAAUUACACAAAUAUUUGGGGAACUCCCCUGUACAAUAAUGUAGCCUAUUUCUAGUAUAGAAUACUGUACAUGCAUUUAGUAAGAGCUCCGCAAAAUCUGUGAGAGUCAUGAAAAUAGACAGGAUACCUAGGCUGCUAAUGUCCUGGGUUGGGGAGGUACACCUUAUGAGAGAAAAGUUCACAAAGUGUCAUGUUACAAUAAAAGUAUUUCCUUUGCAUCAAUACUGAUUUGUGAAGAAUAGCUGAAGGUUAAUGCAUUUGAGAAUACCAAAUAUCAACCAUAAUUCUUAUUUAAAAAUACAUUCUAUGCUAAUGCCUUAGAAAAGCCAGGCAGGGUGGCAUAUGUCUGUAAUUCCAGCACUUUGGGAAGCUGAGGUGGGAAGAUCACUUGAGUCUAGGAGGAGUUCAAGGCCAGCCUGGGUAACAAAGUGAGACCCACCAUGUCUCUGUUAAAAACAAAUUCAGUUCAUUCUUUUUUUUUUUUUUUUUAAAGACAGAGUCAGUCCUGGCCUGGUGGCUCACGCCUGUAACCCCAGCACUUUGGGAGGCCGAGGCAGGCAGAUCACGAGGUCAGGAGAUCGAGACCAUCCUGGCUAACACGUCUCUACUAAAAAUACAAAAAAUUAGCCAGGCAUGGUGGCGGGCGCCUGUAGUCCCAGCUACUCAGGAGGCUGAGGCAGGAGAAUGGCGUGAACCCGGGAGGCGGAGCUUACAGUGAGCUGAGAUCGUGCCACUACACUCCAGCCUGGGUGACACAGUGAGACUCUGUCUCAAAAAAAAAAAAAAAAAAAAAAAAAAGUCUUGCUCUGUUGCCUAGGCUGGAGGCACAAUCACUGCUGUCUGCAGCCUCGAUUUUGUAGGCUCAGGCAGUCCUCCUACCUCAGCCUCCCGAGUACCUGGGAUUACAGCCGUGUGCCACCACACCUGACUAAUUUUUUGUAUUUUUUUGUAGCAGUGGAGUUUCACCAAGAUGUCCUGGCCAGUCUUGAACUCCUACCCACUUGGCCUCCCAAACUGCUGGGAUUAGAGGUGAGAACCACCAUGCCCAGCCUCAGUUCAUUCUUUUAAAGAUGAUUUUAAAAUUUAGAAAUGUGAACUUUUCAAAAGUAACAUUUUUUGCUUACUGUUGAGUAAAUGGAAAGAGGCAAAACAUUUAAUUUUUCUUAAGUCACAGGCAGUUAAAAAUCUGGUUUUAACUUUUCUUUAUGGCCAUUAAAUAUUUUAUGCACAUAUUACACGAUUGAUAAUAUUAUAAUAGAUUCAUUUUAGAAAUGAAACACUUGACCAUUAAACUUAGUUUUUAUAAGAAUAUUCUUAGGUAAGCACAAACAACCUGUUUUCAAACACUGUGUGUCCAGCUUUACAUACUGUAAUUGGGUUCCAUGGACUCUACCCUGAGGUUUGAGCGUCCAGGGCACUCAUGGGUUAACAGUGGUGAGCAUACAGUUACGCUCCAGGAGGGCAGGUGAUUUAUUCUGAAUUCACUUGAGUGUUGAAAACAGAUUAUUAUUUAUGUUACAUAUAUGAGAAAACUCUUAUAAGCCGCCACAUUUAAGUUUUGCUUUUAGUGGCUUAUAUUUCACAAGUUUAAAGGGCACUUUUAAAUUUUUUUGGUAAUCACCGGGAUAUGAGUAGAUGUUAUGAAAAUCUUGUUAUGGGGAUUUUCAAACAUUGUCUUUUUAGUGGCAUGCACUUCUGGCACUUUUGUGAAUUUCAUGAUAAUUCUUGGUAUCUGACUGCUCUGAGACACACCAUACUGGGUUUGUACCAUCCUUGCUGGAGCUCCUGUUCUGGAACCCGGGUAUCUUCAAGGAUAGCCUAGGAUUCUUGUACUUUUAAGCCUGCUGCUUGUGGUUUAUGACCAGAUAGGAAAUUAAAGAAAAAAAAAAAGCUAACAGGCUAGAGAGAAUAUUGCCGGACUGACUGGCUUCCAUCUCUCGCUGGGUCCCAGAGCCCAGGACCCCUUGGAGAGGAAGAACCACUCCUCCUGUCUCCUGCCCAGAGGUCUCCCACUUCUCAUCAGUCCCUUGGCUUGGGUGCCUAGGAGCUUCCCUUCUGCCUGUCUUGAGGGCUGAGUAUAUGGACUGCAGGAAGGAGGGGCUGCUUUGCAUCUUCAUGCUAAUGCAAGACUUUCUCUGGAAUUUUCACAGGCCCAUUAUUAAACAGAAAAGCAAAAUCAGUCCUCACCAUACCAUGGCUUGGCUCUGUUUCUAAUGCACUGCAGUAAUGACGUCUCUGAGCUGUGUGGCCUGAAGAUUUGAUAAACGAGACUUCUCUGUGUUACUCCUCAGGAGCAGGCUCCUCUGGGAAGUGGGAAGGACCCCGGCUCUGCUGUCAGGCUCAGGGAGAGAGAGUGCACGUCCUCCUGUUUGGUAGAACCGCCUGUUACUCCUGUUGGUUCCCUCUUAGCUGAGAGAGCAUCUUGGUUCCCUGGAUCUUAAUGUUAGUCUUCGGCUCACUCUUUAGAGAUGCUUCCACCUUGGGACGAAUUUAUAUCUGUUGUUCUCACUCAUAGGUGGGAAUCGAACAAUGAGAACACAUGGACACAGGAAGGGGAACAUCACACACCGGGGCCUGUUGUGGGGUAGGGGGAGGGGGGAGGGAUAGCAUUAGGAGAUAUACCUAAUGCUAAAUGACGAGUUAAUGGGUGCAGCACACCAACAUGGCACAUGUAUACAUAUGUAACUAACCUGCACGUUGGGCACAUGUACCCUAAAACUUAAAGUAUAAUAAUAAUAAUAAAAAAGAGAUACAAAACAAACAGAAAUAAUGUAACGCAUACUAAAAAAAAAAUGUUGUCAGAGUUUAGGUGGAAUAGCAAAGUUUUAGAAAUAAUCACCUUAUCAAAUACAAUGCAAGUUUCUUCUUGUCCAUAGACGUAGCUAAAAAUCUUGUGAUAAUACACAUAUGAUUCAAUGACAGUAUGAAUUCUAUGCCUUAGUUUUGUUGAGAAUUAAAGUGUUAAAAAUUAGUGAGAAAUUUACAUGUAGGAGCUUGGACUGUAAGAAAAUGCCAUUAAUUAUUACACUUGCUGUACUUUUUCUCUGAUUAAAUCUCAUGAUUUGCUUUUCUUACUAAGACAUUAUCUAUUGGAACAUUCACUAGCCUUUAAGAAUUCACUUAAUCUCUCCUGACAGGUGAAGUGCUCCCUAGGUAUGAAUUUGGAGUUCUGAUGAUUUUUAAAAAUCCUUCCCUGAUUUUCCAGAGAUUUCCUAAGGAAAAUUGGACCAAAUACAGUGGCGACCCCCCCACUUUGGUGUGCACUUUGUUCUAGAGCAAGGGUGGCAGCUACAGGCAUUUGCGUGCCCCUGCCUCCAGCCCUGGCCAUAGCGCGUCAUCCUUUGUGCUCUCUUUCCUCUGAGCUGGGCCAGGGCCCCAUCGUUUUCCGCAGGCCUCCGGGCAGCACCAGGUAGACAACAGAGCAACUCUAGGAUGGGACCCAGCUGCUCCAUGAGCUGGGGAGGUGGGGUCUUCGUUAGGGUUCAGCAGGAUGCCUGUUCCUCCUGGCCUCCUGUGGCUAACUCAUCACAGCUAGGUUUGUUCCCGGUGGCCUGGACUUUUACAGACGCUACAACCUUAGUGAGGCUUUCCCUUGUUUCCCUCCGUUGAAAGUCUCUGAACUACAGUUCUGUGGGACGUAUGUUGUGCCCUUGGGAGUCAUUUUUUGUGACUUCUCUCCAUCAGCAAGAUUGUGAUGUAAGUGGGGGCUUUUCUCUCCCCUUCCUUUAAUAGUAAGUGUGCAGUAAACGUGUAUGUUUACAUAAUGAAAAAAUAACGUCCUUGGAGACUUGUUGUUUUAAAAGAUGCAUAAAAGGGAUCAAUUUGUUAAAGUACUCUUUCAGAAUAAUUAUUGCAUCCCCUAAAAAUGUAAACAAAUAAAGUAUUACUUUCUUUGACUAAAAUUGAAAACAAUAAACUCCUCCCUUCCCCCCCUAAGAAAAGCCCUAAAGAAACUCUAAGUAAUUAAAAAGAGAAAAAAAAAAAAGAAUUUAACAUCGCUAUGUAACCAUCAGAGUCUCAUUUUUUCCCCCUCCAUAAUUGGAUUGGUUUCAGACUUGGAUCAAAAACUGGAACAAAACUUUCUGUGCUGUUUCUGCCCCUCCCGUUUGCUGAGGAGGGAAGGCACAGGGCCGGCCGCAGUUACAGCAUGCCGGCUGCUCCUCGCUGCCCAUUUGGGAUCUCUAGAGGUUGUUUGUUGGUGUUCUGGGAUCCUGAGGGACACUGCCAACUGUUAACCUUUGGCAGAUAGUGACUGUUUUACUUCGAUUUUAUUUUCAUGGUAACCAUUUUUUAAAAAAAAUUAAUAAAUUACCCAAGAGGACAUGGCUUCUAAGGGAAGGAUGUAUCCCAGACUUUAAAAAAUACAGUUCUUUUUUUUUUUUUUUUUUUUUUUGAGACGGAGUCUCGCUCUGUCGCCCAGGCUGGAGUGCAGUGGCGCAAUCUCGGCUCACUGCAAGCUCCGCCUCCCGGGUUCACGCCAUUCUCCUGCCUCAGCCUCUCUGAGUAGCUGGGACUACAGGCGCCCGCCACCACGCCCGGCUAAUUUUUUUGUAUUUUUAGUAGAGACGGGGUUUCACCUGGUCUCGAUCUCCUGACCUCGUGAUCCGCCCGCCUCGGCCUCCCAAAGUGCUGGGAUUACAAGCGUGAGCCACCGCGCCCGGCCAAAAAAUACAGUUCUUAUUUUGGCUCUCUGAUGUGUGGCUCCAGGGUUUCUCUAGGAGGACUACUGGUGGACCUUGACCACAGAGCUCCUAGGCCAGAUGAGCAGCCAUGCCAGAGAAUGCUGUGUGUUUGGAUGGUUGGGUGCCAUGUCUGUUGAAAAUCCAGCCAGCUAGUAACGAAACGCCUUGCAGAAAUCAUCCUGUGGGAAUUCAGAAAUGUUUUUUUAAAAGAGCUUUGCUGCUCAGCUUAGCAACAGCAGUUCUGUUUUGAGAGCCGAAGGGAGCACUGUGCGCUGUUUGUGUAUCCUGUCAGCAAAAUCACAACGGGAAGCUGCUGCAAUGUUGUGUCCCAAGGCUGCAAGGCCACCUUGUCCCAUGGCCUCUGUACAGCCAUGGGAUCACAGCUUCCCUUCUGCAAGGUGCCCUGCACUCUACUAAAGGCACUUGGCAAUGUUAUUGAGACUUUGAACAUAUGUUUUUAGAAAAUAAUACUGAGCAAACUAUAAAGCUCCAGUGGACUGGAAAAGUGUUUGCAUUUUCUUUAUAUUAGCCUCUAGUGUAAUUCAGGACUUCAUUGCUAUGGAGUCUAAUUUCCCUCGCUAAUUGUUUAUGUCCUCAUAUGAACACCACAUAUUCUUAGAGGAAAGAGUGCAUCUCAGCAUCUUUUAAAUGCUCCUGAUACAAAGUCUUAUUGUAAAACACUUGCUCUAGCACGUUUCUUUCUAGUACAUAGCCUAUGUAGUUAGUCUUGGUGUUUCAGAAAAAAAAUGAAGUUAGGUUAGUGGGUGUGAGUGUGGACGCCCCUUGGGUCCAGUGCGGUUGCUGGGUUGGUGCCCUACAGCCAUUGCUGUGCUUCCCUCCUGGCAUCUGUACUCUAAUCUAAUGCACAAGGGCAGUCCUACUGCUCAUUAAUCACGUUUAGUGUUCUCACUCCUAACCCAAAAUCGGGCUUCUCCUUGGAGCAGCGUACUUGAUGCCAGGCUUGGGUGGACGUCACCAAUACCUCCUUAUUCGGGUCCAGCUCAGUCGUCCGUGACUCAUGGACAGUUUUAGGAUUUCCCUAAAACUUAUGUGGACUGCCACAUCUCAGAGGCAUUUUAGUGAUUUUCAGUGAUUUUCAAUCCUGAACAUCUGGGCCUUUCCACUUCCCCCAUAAAAUUUGCCGCCCCCCACCCCCCACCCCACCCCGUUCUCCCUCUCCUUUCCUUCUUGUUUCUUAUAAAGGCUAAUAAUGGGUGUUCUCACCCUUGAAACCAGAACAGUGAAAGUUCUGGAGGAUUACAGAAGCACUUGGUCCUAUUUUUUUUUCACUCAAAUUGAAUCCUGAAAACUCCUGAUGCAGACUGAAUGGUGAAUACUUAAAAACAUGAAUGGCACAGUUCUUCUUGGGCCUAACUGGGGUGGGCACCCUUUGCAAAGCUGUGGUGAGAAACGUGCCCAGCAUAGUUGUUAAACAUGGCAGCCACAGCAUGUCUGCUGGCUCUGAGCGGGCUCCCAGGCCCAGAUUGGCCACACACGCACUGGAGCUGGCUGGAUCUCUUGCCACCUGCCCCUGCCUGCACUUAGGCAGAGAUGGCUCCUGGCUGAAGAGCAGGGAGAAACUGGGGCAGCUCUUCUCAGGCCAAAUGCCUAGGAAAGGGUGGGGAGGGGCUGAAGGAUGAGUGAAAAUGAUUGGGAGAAGACAGAGGGAAAAAAGGCCAAGUUGCUAGGAAGGUGGUGGGUGAGAGACAUUCAGACUUGGCUUGCCCCUCUUACAGACGGGUUGAUUUCUCUCAUUUGUAAAGUGAAAUGGACAAAUGUGAGUCCUUGGUGACUCACUGGAGCUUCUCGAAUCUUACCUAGGGACAGUCUAGUUAUGGGUGGUGGACAUGGGGUGGGGUGAGGAGUGUGGAGUUUUUCAUCUUCCAAUUGGAGAAGACUGUUUUGCAAUUUUGAGUACCUCUGCCAGUGAAGAACUGUGCAAAAGGCUGAUUCCUAGUUGUGCCCUAGUAAAUGUUUUCAGAAUAUUUUUCUAGGCAGCUGGGGACCAGUGUGUUUUGAAUAGCUUGUUAAACAGACUUUUAAGAGGUACACCCAAUUAGCACUACUGAGUAGUAUUUAGAUGUUGACUAGAUUCAUGGGACUAUGCUGGAAAAUAAAUUGCAAACUCAAGUGUGACAUUUUAAACUAGCUUUUGAUCCUUAAAACCACCUUGCCUGAGCUGGAGACAGCCAUUUCUCCCUUGUUUUCCUGGCCUGAUCACCAGGCUUUUGAGCUCUAGGCUGGCCUUCCCAACUCUCAAACAUAUUCCUUUUAUAGAAAUAAAAGUACCUGGCCUCUAUGAUGCAUAACUAUGAGUCAUCCAGUGGAUAUUAAAGAACUCCAAAAACAUGCUUCAAGAUAGUUUUUCCAUUUUGUUCCAGAGCGCAGUCUAAAUUUGGACUCAUUGGAAAUGGAAGUGAAAGGCCCCGAUGGAACCUUUUUGGUUGCUGCCUUCUUUGAGCUGCUGUGGUGGGUGGGCAGGGACAGACAGCCGUACCUGCACAGAGGCACUGGGUUUCUUGCAUUCAUUUCUGAAUGAGUCGGCCUCUCAUUUGCACAUUAGUGACCAAUUUCCCUCUUUUUUUUUUUUUUUUUUUUUUUUUUUUGUGGUGUAGUCUCACUCUGUUGCCCUGGCUGGAAUGCAGUGGUGUGAUCUUGGCUCACUGCAACCUCUGCCCCCCGGGUUCAAGCGAUUCUCUUGCCUCAGCCUCCUAAGUAGCUGGGAUUAUAGGUGCAUGCCACCACGCCUGGCUGAUUUUUGUGUUUUUAGUAGAGAUGAGGUUUCACCGUGUUGGCCAGGCUGGUCUCAUACUCCUGACUUAAGGUGAUCCACCUGUCUCGGCCUCCCAAAUUGCUGGGAUUAAAGGCAUGAGCCACCACGCCCGGCUAGUGAUCAAUUUCUAAUGAUUGAGACUCUUGGGCACAAUGCCACAUGAUUUUGUCAUGCUAGUGUGAACCAAUAUCCUGUUCCCAUGGUGGAUAAUGUUAUAUUAAUGUUUAGUAAUAUUUGUGCAAAUUAGAUAGGGCAUGAGGGCUUCGUAAUACCAAGAUAUGUACAUGUGGAGAAGUCGUGUGAUGAAAAAGUUACUUGUCCAAGGUAGCCUAAAGUGAUGAACCAGAACCUGAUGCUAGUAUUUUAGGGAAUGUCGGUUUUGGUAUCUCUUAUGUGUCUGAUUAUAGUGUCAACUGCAAUAAGUUGAUAAGUACUAAAAUGUAUUAUAUUUUUUCCCCACUCCACUGUUUCAAAAUGUAGUAUAUAGCAUUAACAAAGACUACAGAUCUAAUGCCCAGCCAACAGUUAACGGGAGAUAAGGAUUUUUACGAAAAAGCAGAAGUUGCUAGAUGGUUUUUGUUGUUUUGUUUUGUGUUUUUGAUGGCUGGGACUCUUAAGGUACAGAGAGAAUUGCCAGUCUUUCUGUAUUACCGAGAAAUUGUAAACAUCUGUGUUGUGGGCUUUGUUUAUUUUUAUUCCCUGCAGUCUUUAACAUGGUAUCUGCCCCAUAAUUGACUCUCAGUCAGAGAGUGCCUUUGACUCUGUUUUUGAAAACCAUUGUACCAAGGAGUGGGUCUAACAGUCACAGGCCAUCCUAUUUAAUCUAAGUAAGUUCUAUUUCUUCUGUUUGUAGAUUUUUGAACUUAAGAGCAAAAGCGAAUAUUUCUAACAAGAUUUGACAUGUGAAUUUUUAAGUAGAUACCACAUAAAAGUCCAGUUAAGUAAAAGGUGAUAUGAAUGUUUAUUUUAUGUGAAGUACUUUAAGUGAUUAUUGUUAUUUAGGUGUUGCAUUCUAUGGAGUUUCCUCAUUAAUGUAUUUGUUUACAAAACAAUGGCAAAAUGAGACAUAUGGGAGGGGAGGAAGGAAUUACUAACAUAAUGGGAGAAAGGGCUUUCUUACAGGGAUAAGUGUGUUUUGUCACUGAAGUUUUUAUUUGUUCUAUCACUGAGCCAAUCUUUUCGAGUUAGAAGCAGACCCUGCUGUAUUAAAUUUGCUGAUGGGAAACCUGGAUGUCUUUGCGUUUCUCCUUGCCAGCCAAGGAGUUAGACUAGAACAACUUCAAUAUGGGCUGUAACUUUUGAAUAGUGAACACAGACUUUAUAAUAUCCACUGGUGUUUUAUUUGUCACAUCUGCCAGUUUACCUAAAAUUAAAAUUUUGAAAACCAUUUUUUGUGGAAAGGACAAAUCGUGUACUUGUUGGAGUUCUGGGCUGAAUAUUUUGUGAUGUGGUUUUCAAGUGAUCUUAGAAUAAUUAUGAUGCCAGCUAACUGUCCUUGAGUGUACUGUUCUCAUUGCUUGUAUUAUUUAUUAAAUGUCAUAUUUUCUCCAUUUUACAGAUGAGGAAAUUGAGGUACAGAGAGAUUGGUUAAGUAGCCCAAAGUACAGAGUUCGUUAAGGGAUGGGGUGGUUUGAACCUAGUUCUUGGCCCAUUCUCUUAACCACUUAGCUAUAACUGUUGUUAACUAAAUCAUAUAGUAGACUUGAGUAUAACACAAUUUGUCUUUUAUAUGACUGAUGAAAUUAGCCCCAUGGGUUUAUUUUCAAUGCCUUAUACAUACUAAAGUUAUGAAAAGUGUUUCUAUUUUUGAAUGAUUUUUCUUUCCUUAUUUUCAUUGUUUUCCCCUGCACCAUUGCUGAUAACCUUACAAAUAACGAUUGUAAAAGACCAGGAGAAAGAUAAGCAUGCCAAUCAUAGGUUUUGGUUCUGUACAGUUUUCCUCUUUGACCCAUUAAUGCUUUUCAGUUUUCCCACUAUAAUUCCUCAUUAAUUUCCAGAUUUGUCCCUCGCAUCAAAUUCUAUGGUUUUUAGUGUAUUUUUUUGCCUUUUAGCCUGGGAACUUUUGGGUGGGGAGAAUAAGGUGAUGUAGUUCAAGUCGAAAUACUAGAAUAUGAAUACUUUCAGAAGCCCAUACACUUGUGUGCACAUUAACUAUGUUUUUAGCAGUUGAGCUUUGGUUCAUUGUAGUGAAAAUGUUUUUCCAUGAGCAAUUCUUGAAUGUUGGUCUUGGGUUUUUACCACAGAUGUUACGGGUUUGGCCAUGCCUGUCUCUUGAAAAACUCAUACAAAUUGCCAGUUUGGUAUAAGCAUUAAGGAAUCACAUUGCUUUUUAAUUGUAUUUAUUUCUAUUUUUAAUAUUUGAGCUUUAAAAUAUUGUAGUAGUAUUGUAAAAAUGUAUCUGUAUGUUAUCCUACACUAAGCCUAAGCUUUAAUGAGGAUAUCGGUACGUGACUGUCCUGUACUUGGAGCAUUUGUCCGCUUUUGAAUACAUGUAACACUUUGAUGCUCCUGUCCCCAUGGUUUGAUGAAGUACUUAAUACCUUGAAUGCUAUAUUUAUUAUCAAAUUUUGAAUGAAAUCACUAGCCUAAAUACAAGUGAAAUGUUUUUGAAAUUUUCAUCACCUUUGAAACACCUAGUAUUUCUGUAGAAUUGGAUUGAGGAGGGUGGAAAGAAGGGUUAAUCUCCCCAAAUACAAAUACAGCAGUUCCUUUUUAUCAUAAAGUAAAUGUGUGGCCUGGGAGAAUGUGUUGGAUAAUUCUCAUCUUAGGUUGUACAUGUAUGACCAAGGCACUGGAUAAAUUCACAUGUGAGUGUUGUUUAUUUUCAUGCACUUAGGAACGUGUUUAGUACUGUUUCUGCCAGUCUAAGCCUUAAAAAGGUCUGUAGCGCAUUUGGGAUUGCUGAGAGCCGAGGAGCUGCUGUUCUGAACGUCUUCGUUUUCACUUUUUUUUUUUUCAAGAUGGGGUGGAGUCUUGCUGUGUUGCCCAGGCUGGAGUGUGGUGGCCUGAUCAUAACUUACUGCAGCCUUGACAUCCUGGGCUCAACCUGUCUCAGCCUCCCCAGUAACUGGAACUUAGGCGCAUCCCACCAUGCCCAGCUAAUUUUUUAUUUUUUGUAGAAAUAUGGGGUCUUGCUGUGUUGUCCAGGCAGGUCUCAAACUCCUGUGCUCAAGUACUCCUCCCGCCUGGCCUUCCCAAAGUGCUGGGAUUACAGGUGUGAGCUACCAUGCCCGGCAUAUCUUCAGAAGAUCAUUCAUAUCUGGCACAGUUAACCUUUUUUCAGUCAGCAGAGCUGGUUUGCACAGGAGAUUGUAAGUGGGUCUAUGGAGAUGGAAAGUUACAGGUUCCAUCUAGGAGAGGCUACUAGUUUUUGAAUAGAGGGAGAGAAAUCUAUUCCAAAGGAAUUGCUUCCUCAAUCCCCACUGGCCACUGCUGGUGCAGUGCCAGGCAAGAGGGUGGACUACAGGGGCAGGCAGUCCAGCUAGUGGCACAGCCAUUCAGUGAGCCAGGAGUCUUUGUGCAAGGAAGGCUGAGGUGAUGACAGAGCUAACAGCAAACUCAAUCUGAAAAAAAAAAUCCAGAAAAAUCAACCAUAUAUGCAAAUAUCGAAAACUAUUUUUGGUGAACCCCUUUGUGCAUAAGAGAUCAUUUACAAAAUAUGUGUGUGCAAGAUAAGUCUAUUCCUGUAAAGAAAUCUGAGUCAGUCUGAGGAGAGUGCAGUUGGUGCCUUGGAAGCAUCAUGCCUGUGGCUGUUCCUGCCUGUUUAAAUGAUUUAGGCCCAUGAAAUGUCUGUAUAAAGAAUGCUUUAAGUUGUCUUCUCCGACUGCCCCUUAUUCACUGAAAGACAGACUCAUAUGACUGGGACAGUGACUUGUAGAGCUUCUAGUCCUUUGCAAAUACCAUGCUGUCCUGUCUUAAAAGAGCUGACCAAAUUUAAAAAAAACCACCUAAAAAAGAAGUGAAUGGCUGUUCUGAUCACCUCAGAAGAAUCUCAGGACAAAUUUACAUACACACCCCUUCAUCUGACACCUGUGGCUUUUAAAAAGAAAGCCAGAUAACGGAUAGUCAUUUAAUCAGUUUGUACCCACAUAAGCACUUCUAGGAUUUCCUUCAUGCAUUAGGUAAUGAGGCCCUCCCCUGAGAUUGAUAUGUAUAUAUAAUUAAUAACUAGCCCAGUGUGUUCUCCAAAGAGGCAGCCGCAGGGGGAAUACCACAGCCUCUGCUGUGAAUCCUUGUUGACCAGCAGCUCCUGUUCAUUGCAUGGCUGGGUCUGGUUCCCACCUAGUGGGUCAAGGCUGGUAUAUUAAAGUUCUGAUGUUAUGUCUCAAAAAGACCAAUUUGACCUAGUUGGAACAUGUAUAUAUAAAUGUGUAUGUGUAUAUAGCAUUCUAUAUUCACAAGCAUUUAAGUGAGUUUUCUAGGAAUUAAUAAGAAGUAAAGGCCAGGCACAGUGGCUGUACCUGUAAUCCCAGUGCUUUGGGAGGCUGAGGCAGGAGGAUUGCUUGGGGUCAGGAGUUUAAGACCAGCCUGGGUAGCAUAGCUAGACUCUUAUCUCUACAAAAAAAUGAAAACAUUUAGCUGGCCACGGUGGCACAUGCCUUUAGUCCCAAUUAUGUCACUCCAUACACUGUAGCCUGGGUGACAGAGCAAGACCCUGUUUCUUUAAAAAAAAAAAAAAAAAAAAAAAAAAAAAGUGGUAGUAGUAGUACAUCUUUUACUCCUGUUUUUAGAAUGGGCACAGCAAACUGUCCACUUAUUUUCAUCAUUAACAUAUUAAAUGUAAUUUAUGAUAUUUUCUUAGAGAAGAUUAAAAUCAUAGGUAAAGUGAAUAGGGAAGUUAAUUCUGAUACUAAAGUUGACAGUAAUCAGAACUUAGAGAAGUAAGUCACAGCCAGUCAGGAAAAUUGCAGACUGGAAAAGAUAAUUAUUAGUAAAGAGUUCUUGUGGUUCUUAAUAAAUUGUCUUCCUGAACCUAGUGGCUCUGCUCCGUCACCAUAAAACUCUGAUUUUGUUGAUUAACCUUUUUGUAUUCAAUAACAACUCUAAAUGGCUCAUUUAUUGUUUAAUGUUUUCUGUUUUUCUUUUUUAUACCAAACAAAUUAGGAGAUGUUGGCAUAUCAAAGAUGUGAAGAAAAAUGAAUUCGGAAAGAAUGAUAUAUCUAAUAUCCAGGAGAUAAUGUAGUUGCAUCGAUUGUGUUGUAAAGAAGAACAUAUCUAGCAUUAGUAAUGGCAGUGGCAAUAAUGAUGACGAUAAUAAAGAUUGCAUUGAGCUAUAUAUAUGUUAUCUCAUUCCAGUAUAAAAGAAGUGCCCCCAGCAACUUCUUGGAUGCCAAGGAGGUUUCCAAAUUACUUAUUUUACAAACUCCUACUUUAUUCCCUUUUUUCUUCGUCUUCGUCUUUGUCUUCUUCUUCUUUUUUUUUUCCCCCAAGAACAGAUUCUUGCUCUGUCGCCCAGGAUGGGGUGCAGAGGCAUAAUCUUGGCCCACCGCAACUUCUACCUCCUGGGCAUAAGUGAUCCUCCCACCUCAGCCUCCUGAGCAGCUGGGACUACAGGUGUAUGUCCACCUGUAGUGGAUGCACGCUCAGCUAAUUCUUUAAAUUUUUUGUAGAGACAAGGUCUCACACUGUAUUGCCCAGGUUGGUCUCGAGUCCCUGGUCUCAAGUGGUCCUCCCACUUUGGCCUCUCAGCAUAUUUUUAAGAAUGAGAGGGAAUGCUAUUAAUACUAUCAGUAUGCUGGGAUAACAGGUGCUUAUAAGGCAGUUGAUAAAAAGAAUAUAAUGGGACUCUACUUAGUCACUAAACAGAUGUCUUUGAACAUUUACAGGUCAAGAAUACAAGAGAGGAAGGUCUGCUUAGUAAGUGGAGUACAUUAACUCACUGACCUACUCUGGGUUGCUAUUAAAUUGUAUUAAAAUUCUGUGUAGACAUUACCUAGCCUCAGAGUUGAAUUUCGACUACCCUUAAAAUAAAAAAUUCUUAAAUCUUUAGUGUGGUAUCUAUUAAUUUUUAUGAUGAUUUACAAGUUAGAAAUGAUUACUUUGCAAGUCGUAGUUUACUUUGAAGAUAAAAAGAGUGAUUAUAGUAAAGGAAAAAUGCCACAUAUGGCAUUGUUCUUUUCUUAACAGCUUAUGAAAUUUGGAAAACUGGAUAUUUUAGAAAGCUUUCUCUUGUUGGCUGGAAUGAAGUGGAGACCCUGCUGGGAAGAAACUCAGAUAUGUCGAUAAUUACUCUAAUUAUGAGAGUUCAGAUUUGGAAGAUUGUCUGAAAAUCUGUGUUGCCAUGCAGUUUCUGUUAGUAACAAUUUUGAAUUAAUAGUUAUUGUGUGACGCAUAUUUUUGAUUAAAAUAUUUUAAUGCAGUUAUUAAAAUAUGUGUAGUAGAGUAAUACUGAAGCAAUAUAUCGUAACACAAAAGGAUAUUCACUGUAAAUAAGUAAAUCAGGCAAUUAGAAAACAGUAUUAUUAUUUGUUUUCAUUUUUUGUUUUAGAAAAAGUAUCUGUGGGCACACAUAUUCAGAUAAAAUACUGCAAGGAUAUUUUACUAAAUUUAAAUGCUUAUUUGAGGAUUAGUGGGAUUUAACUUUAUCUCCUUGUAACUAAUAAAUUGACCAUGUUUUCUGUUUAGUUUUACUUUAAAAAUAUGAAAACAUAAACAUUAACCUGUUUCCUUUUAUAGAAGUGCUGGUGUGUAUUCUGAAGCUGGCUAGUUUUUUAUGUUCAAGAUAGUGUUUUCAAAUAAUGGAAUCAUUCCCUCAUCUCAUUCUUAGGGUCAAAAACGAGGGGUAAGUCACUAUAUUCCUCUAGAAAAUGUUUUGUAACCAGUUAGGCAGCCAUGUGGUUGGCAAAUGUUACAACAUUUCAGGUCCAUUUUUGUUUUUUAGGUCUCUGCAAAGUCAGCUGUCAGAGAGUAUCUCAUUGAACACUUUGGUUAUUUCCACAUACAUUUAUGUGACUAAAUUACGUGAAACUGGAGAAUAAGACCUCAUGUACAUUCGUACAGCCUCCAAAAAUACUACACGUGAUGGCAAUGAUGAUGAGGAUGCUGACCUUACUGUAGAUAACAGUGACCGUUUACUGCGUGUUCGUGCGCCUGGUACAGACUCUGCCCCCAAGUCCUUACCUGCUCCUUUCACUAGACUCAGUAGUCUGUCUUAGCUUCCGGUAGUUUCUCAGUAUUCUCAGCAAGGAAGCUCGUCCCAUCAGCAGUUGUCCUGGCCUGUCCAAACCCUCCACGCAGUGAGUCUUCUUCAGGUUCAGGGACAUAGACGUAGCUUCUGUCCACUCAAAUGUUGAACAUCCCUGCAUUGUCAAAACCAGCAAGUAUUGUACCCGUUACUCGGUACCUGUCUAACUGUAGAAGUUCCUUUAAAAAAAGAGCUGUCUUUUUACUACUUCAUGGCAUGUAGUUUUAUACAUUGAUCGGAUUCAUAUUAUUUUGUCUUACAACUUGAUGUCAAAAUAUGUAAGCAGGUGGGAGUAGAUUGUUUUCUUUUGUAUUUCUGCUCUCUUUUUCUCUGUAAAGUUUUUAAAUGGAAAUAAAAUACCUAAGGCUCAUAUUAUGUGAUCUCUUGUUGGCAGUAUAAAAGGUUUCAUAAUAAUUGUUUUCUUUCUUUAUUGUUAUACAGGUGCUCCAUUAGGUGAAGAGGUGGAGAAGGGUGAAGGAUUUAAGGGCUUGAUUUGUUUUUAAGUUAAAUGUUAGGUUGCUAGAUAUCUUUAGAUAUCUAGCUAGUAAUUUAGCUUUUGAAAUUCAGUGAAAUCUAUGUUUCAAGGGAGGGAUGUUAUUCCAGGAAUUCUGCUGAAAUAAGCAGUACACCGAGGCAUAUCUCUGAAUAUUUAGUCAUUGCCAGUGGCAAAGUUGGUAAUGCUACUUUGUGGUAUGUUUAAUAGAGGAAUAGUGUAUAGCCUUUGCAGAUAAUGAUUUAGGUCUGUAUUUAUUUUUACAGAAAGGUAACCACAUACACACAUAUGCAUACAUCUUUUUAUUUUGAAACAAUUUCAGACUUAAAAAUAUUUACAAAAAUUACACAUUUUUAUAUACCUUUUACCCAGAUAUCUUACAUGUUAAUAUUUUGUCAUUUGUUAUACCACUUAUACCCUUCUUUCUGUAUUUGUACAUGUAUCACCUAAACAUUUUUUCUGAAACAUUUAUAAUUAAGGCAGACAUAGUACUUCUUUUACUUUUAAAUAUUUCAGUGUCUUUUUUUUUUUUUUUUUUUUUAAAUCAAGGACAUUCUCUUCUGGCAGUAAAAUGAUGAAAAUUGGGAAUACCACAUACAUUCAAUGCUGUUACCUAAUUUACAGACUUUAUUCAGAUCUUGCCAGUUGCCCAUUAAUGUUCUCUAUUUCGUGCAGUAUCCAUUCCAGGAGCACAUGUUGCAUUUAGUUGCAGCCCGCUUUAGUCUUUUUUAGUCUGGAAGAACUGUUCAGUCUGUCAAUCAGGACCUUCACAGUUUUGAAGAAUACAAUCUAGUUAAUUCUAGCAAGUUUGCUGAAUGACCUUUGAUUUGGAUUUGUGUGGUGUUUCCUUGUGAUGUGGGUGGGAAUACUACAGAAGGGUGGUAUUGUGCUCUCUGUGCAUUUUGUCAGGCAAGGUGUUGAUAUGCCUGUCCUAUGGGUGAUGACAUAAACUUUGGUCGCAUAGUUAAGAUGGUGUCUGCCAACUCCAUUGUCAAAUUGAUAACUUUUUUCUUUGUAAUGAAGUGUCUUGAGAUUCUCUAUGAAAGUAUGCAAAUAUCUUAUUCCUCAUCACACUUUUACCCAUUAAUUUUGUACUCAUUCAUGAUUUUUGCCUGAACCGGUUGUUAGUGUGGUGUUCGUCAAAUGGUAAUUUUUAAAUUCUUCCGCUUAUUCCACUUUUGUAGUUUGAGUCCUUCUGUAAGGAAGAGCUUUCCCUUCUCAUUGACUUAAUUGUUCAGAACAGGCUCGUGGGUCCUUAUUUGAUUCUGCUGAUUGUGAUCUGUUAUUAUCAUGAUUGACUGGAUUGCUCCAAUUGUUCCAGGCUGGCCAGCGGGGACAGUUCAGGCUAUGCCUUGUCCUGUCUUUUUCCAAGCCCUUACUUAUUUUUUUGUCUGUUCUCUUUCAGUGUGGGGGUGGGGAGAGGCGCAGUUGUGGAUUGUUUUACUAGAUUUUAUCCAGCUUUUUCUCCAUAUCUGUAUUUGUAUAAAUUUUAAAAACUGAGCAUUAUUUAAAUGUUUAUGAUGGUUGCCUUUGGGUUGUGGGAUUACUGAUUAUUCUAAUUUGUUUUUCUGGAAAAAAAUUAGCCAUCUAGCACAAGUAUUACUUAUAUCAAGGAAGAAAGGCUUUUUAAAAACAUUGCACAGAUUUGUUGUGAGGCUAGGCAUGGUGGCUCAUGUCUGUAAUUCCAGAACUUUGCGAGGCUGAGACGGGGUGGAUCACCUGAGAUCAGGAGUUUGAGACCAGCAUGGCCAACAUGGUGAAAACCCCCUCUCUACUAAAAAUACAAAAAUUAGCUGGGCGUGGUGGCAUGCGCCUGUAAUCCCAGCUACUGGGGAGGCUGAGGCAGGAGAAUCGCUUGAAUCCAGGAGGUGGAGGUUGCAGUGAACUGAGAUCACACUGCUGCACUCCAGCCUGGGCAACAGAGCCAGACUCCGUCUCAAAAAAGAAAAAAAAAAAAAGAUUUGUUGUGAGUAGUGGAAAUUACGUGCCUCUAAGACUGACUGAGAUUAUUUUGUGUUUUGCACCUGUCAUUUGAGAGCAUUCAUGUUUUCCAGCACACAUCAUAUGUGAAAUGGAGCACUGUCACUAAAUGCUGAUCUCAUGACUUGAAAUAAUUAUUCUACCUUUAGAAGUUGGGAAGUCAUUAUAACCUGUGCUCUCCCCGUUUCUUAAGACAGAUGAGGCACCUGGUCCCUGUGAAGUUAGGUGACUUGCCCAAAGUCACAGAGUUAAUUGAGCAGAUAGAUGUUCUGGCUCUGAGUCCAGUGUUCUUAGAAAAUUCUUAAUAAUGUUUUGUUUGUUAACUGUCUUCUAAUGACCAGAUACUGAAUGAAGUUUUAAAGAUCCUUUAGCUUAAAUUUGCAUGUGCCGUUCGAUGAGUCAUGUUCCAAAAUUUUAUAUCCGAAAAUUAUCAAAGGCCAUUUGGCCAUGCUUGAUGAUUAACAACUUCAAGUGAGUCUAAAUUGAUUUCUUGGUAGACCAUAGCUGUGAAGUGCUGUGAUUAGUCUACUGCCUGGUGUUCAAUGUGUAAUUACACUGUUAUUCUAUACUUGUAAAAAACAUAGUUGGAUUGAAAGAAUGGAGGCCUGAUAAAUUUGUGCCGACUGUUUAAACUCGUGAACUUUCUCUGGAAUCAAGACAUGCCUGCCAGAAGAAAAAAAUCUACUUGGGCACGACUAAGUGCUAUCUGUAGAUUGCCAAGGAAGCUUUCCCCGCCCCUCUCACUUGCUAUGAGUCCCCUGGCCUGUCCCCUCUGAGCACCAGAUACUGAUUUGUUGUGCCUGCUGUGGUGGUAAUUACAUAAAGUGUGUAUUGAGGUGCUUCCUGUCUGUCUUACCCCCAGCUCCGUCCUCAGCCCCAGUCACAGAGCCUUUCUCACAGCAGGAGUUCAGGAAAAAUGAGAAUUUACCCUGUCCAGGCUGUCUUGUGGAGAUGGGUCUUCUCUUGAUCUGUAUCCCUCUUUUUUCUUUUCUUCUUCUUAUUUUUAAAUAUUCUGAUUUUUAAAGCAGUCAUAUCAUUAGUCAGGGCUUUUGGUUACAAGCAGUCAAAACUGUCCCUAGCCAAUUAUAAGCAUCUCAUAUGGCAACAGUAGUAUUUAUUUGCCAAGAACUAUGAAGGGUCUGAGCUUCUUUACUCUAUUUGCAAGCUAGGUUAACCUGCCUUAGUUUGCUGGCAAAAGACAUGAGACUCCUGGGUCAGACAGAGGCCUUUAUUACUCACAGUGGUAACAGUAGUCAUGAUAUCAGCAUUUGUUUUUUGCACCAGUUCUUCAAGCCCUGAUUCUCACAGAGCGACUUGCAGAAGGCCAGUUGUGUACACACAGUGGGUUGCAUUGCAGGAAAGGAACCCUGAAUAUAAGGUACCCUAAUCUCUUAUACUGGACUGCAAGCAUGCCUGCUUUUUGUUCUUAAGGGAGAUGCUGUCUCUGUCUUCCAAGUCUGUAAGCAUACCUGCCCUUUGCUCUGGAGGAAGACACUAUAUCUAAGUCUAUUCACUAUAAAAAUAUCCUUGUAAUGAUAGUCAAGAACAAAGGUAGUCAUUGCCUCUGCUUAAAUCAUGUACAGAAUUGCAAGAGACCCACAGAGAAUUAUCUACCAACAAUAUGCAUCGUAGAAAUUUAGAAAACAGAAGAUAAGUCACUACAGUCCUACCACUCUUACUGUUAAGGUUUUUGAAAUAUAUAGAGUUUUAGCCAUAAAUAUAAAUGAUUUCAUAUAGCAUGUAUUUUAUAAAAAUUGAUUUAUACUGUACAUUCUAUCUUGUGAUGUGAUGUUUUUCACCUGCCACUGUACCAUGCCCAUUUCCCUCUCUCUGCUGUCUGUAUUCUCCUUGAUGUGGUGAAGCAUCUUUGCCCAAUCUUCUGUUCCCUUGUGCCCUGCUCUCUGCCUAACAUUUAAUUGUACUAAGUAUAGAAUCAGAGUUUUAGAGGUUGAAGAGCAGAGAUUUCAGAUCAUCUGGUCCAACCUUUUCAUUUAACAUGUGUGUUAACUUUCUCAUUUAACAUAAUUACAUUUCACUGAGACCUUCUGGAACCAACAAGAAAACCUUAAUAUGGAACUGCAAUGGUGGGAAUUUGGGGCAUUGGAAGAAGUUGGGUUGGCAACAUUGCUUGGGUGAUUCCCUUGCUAACAUUGUACUGUAAGGUGUGAGGGCCGUUGCAUUAGACUCUGACUGGGCUCUGUAAACCUGAGCCUCAUUCUUAGAACCUCUUGAGCCCCUUGAUGUUGCCCAGUCAAGUCCAUAGUGACUGUAGGGGCUGAACUUCAAGGGCCACUUUUGCUUAUGGCCAUCACCUGAGAGCACCUCCAGAAUCAAAAUGGCCUUGGGAAGUACUUGCCCCAAAGAGAGUUUUAAAAAUUAUUCUGUCAAUCUGACUCAAUUCCUUGUAGAUAGUAGCUAGAUAGUUCGUUUCCAGGCAUGUAUUUUCUUGGAGUUUGUUAAAAACAAUGGAAAAAUCUUAUCUUAAAAGUACCUCUUAGGCCGGGCGUGGUGGCUCACGCCUGUAAUUCCAGCACUUUGGAAGGCUGAAGUGGGCAGAUCACCUGAGGUCAGGAGUGUAAGACCAGUCUGGCCAAUGUGGUAAAACCCUGUUUCUACAAAAAUACAAAAAUUAGCCGGGCAUGAUGGCAGGUGCCUGUAAUCUCAGCUACUUGGGAGGCUGAGGUGGGAGAAUUGCUUGAACCUGCUGCAUUCCAGCCUGGGCGACAGAGUGGGACUCAAAAAAAAAAAAAAAAAAAGUACCUCCCUAAAACUGCAACUCAAAGUGUUAACUAUUCAUAUUUCUAGAGUCCAUUAAAGGCAGUUGUGAGGUAUUUAUAUUAAUGGAAUUUGCCUUGCUUAAAAAAAUUCAGGACCAUGAGGUUUUGGAUUAUUAAUGUAGAACUGCUAAAUAAUUUUUUGAAUGGUAGCUUUCUUUCAAAAGCCACAAAGCUGUGUUAUCUUGCUUUCAAGAAAAUAUUCUUUGUUGAAUGACUUAAGCUUAUUAGUUCUUGGAAAAUUUUAAGGAUGUGCUGCCUUCAAACAGUAAAACAAGUUCCAGCUUUUUGUACUAAGAAGAAACUGUUGUUACUGAGGAUCAGCUCUGCUCCCGGUGUCAGUGGGCUUAUGGAGAGGAUGGCAGAGAAGCUUCUUGGGCCUGUGGCAUUCUGCAUCCUAAUGACCAUCUCCUUUUUCUGUUCCCUGCCCCUCUCCUCUUUCUUUCCCCCUCCCCUUCUAUCCUAAAGCAGGGGAUUUAUAGAAUGAUGGCAUUUACUACCAAAGCUUUGCUGGCCUUGAAGCGAGCCUAAUUUCCAGGUGGCAUCUUGAGAUUUAUCUUGUCCUGGGUCCGACCAUUGCCAGACCUUGGUUUCUUCAGUUGGACGUAAGGCUGUACCUGUUCCAAGACAGGGAGUUGGGGAGGAGAGGUCAGGGCCAGGUCUGUUAGAAUGAGCCGAGACAGACUUAAAAGAGAGAACAUAGACAGCAUUCUCUAUGUGGAGUGUUCAAGGCCAACGGUUAUGAUUAGGAGGCCUGGCUGAAGUAGCGUCAGCUGGUUCUCUAGUGACUAUACCAGGGUUGUGAGAUCUUAGUGUCCUGGCAACUAGACAGCGGUUCAUACUUGGGCUUCUCCCCUGCAAGAGAGUGAGAGAACCAGCCAGGACAGCAGUGUCCUCUGGGUGCCAGGCAUUAUGUACUAGGGGCUUGGCCUACUGUGCCAUUCAGCCAGGUGGCCGUGCCCUGCCCCUCCCCUCCCUGCCAUCCAUUAUGUGCCUCCAUCCUUCUCAGGGCCCUUCCCUUCCCCAUGAAUCCCCACCCUGAGGUCGUGCUUAAGUGCCACCUGCUCAAGAGAGAAGGCUUCCUGCCCGCGCCCAUGAUGUAAGUCUCCCCAGAUACUUUCUACCAUCCUGUCCUUUGUCUGUAAUUGCGCUUGUCGCCUGAACAGAAUCCUAAUUGUGCUGAUGACAUGUUUAAUUUUGGUCUCCCCUGUAAGACAGGCAGGUUUUUGGAGGCAGGGACUGAAUGUCAUUCACAUCUGUGUUCCCAGGGUCUAAUACAUGAUGGUGCAUUGUAAGUAUUCAGUACAUAACUUGUUGAAUAAAUAGAUCAGGUUUAGCAUUUUCCCCCAUUGGACCUGGAUUGACCUGGAAAUUGGUGAACUGAACCUGCAAGUAGAGAUUGAAGGACCUAACAACUGUGGAGUGGCUGGUGAAGGUAGAUAUAAGUGCAGUAAGAGAGGGAGUCGUUGAUGUUGUUUUGGUUCAUAGUGCAGAAUAAAGCUACUCAUGGAAAUAGACGAUUCCUACUCUUAGUUUCUGCUUUGGUGUGGUUACUGCUGUUGUCUAGCAUAAGCAUAUAAACAAAUCACUGGCUUAGUGGGUAAAUUUUUCUUCUCUUGUUAAACAGCUGAGUUCUUGCUGUUUUCAAAGUUAGCCAAAAAUUCCAUUUUCAUGUUUAAAUGAUUUAGAAAAAUCAUUUUUCUUUCAAAAAUAACAGUAUAUAAAAAUAACGUAUUCUCGGCUGGGCGCGGUGGCUCACGCCUGUAACCUAGCCUUUGGGAGGCCGAGACAGGCAGUUCACCUGAGGUCGGGAGUUCGAGACCAGCCUGACCAACAAGGAGAAACUCUGUCUCUACUAAAAAUACAAAAAUUUUAGCUGGGCGUGGUGCCACGUUCUCCUAUCCCAGCUACUCGGGAGGCUGAGGCAGGAGAAUCACUUGAACCCGGGAGGUGGAGAUUGCGGUGAGCCGAGAUCGUGUCGCUGCACUCCAGCCUGGGCAACAAGAGCGAAACUCCGUCUCAAAAAAUAAAAAAUAAAUAAAAAAUAAAACAUUUUCAUCUAUUUUUUUAGAGUAAUUUACCUUAUAUAUAAAGUACGAUAUGAGUUAAAAUCACACCUUGGUUAUAGCAGCUUUUUUUUAAAAAAAUUAAAACACACUUUUAAGUAGGAAUUCCAACACUAAGUUAAAUACAUAGCAUUUUUAGUGAAAUGCUUUGCUAAGGUCAUAUCCUGUGGUUUUAAGAACAUUUGGCAGCAUUGAUUGUUAACUUUGAGGAUUACGUGUAGUUAUUCUGAUAACAGAAACUUUUCCUGGUGGGUAGGAGGCAAGCUGUGUUCUAAGAUGGUCCUGUAUCUGGAUAAAAGGAGAGAUUGUAAAAAUUACUUCACUUAGUCAGAUUUACUUGGAAAUAUUAAUGGAUUUGUUCUGCUCAUUUGUUAACUCUGAAUAAAUUGCUCAUCUUUUUAAAACUAAGUUGUCUGUGAGUCACAGGCCUACAUUUAUAUAAAAGCAAAAAUACAGAAAUGAUUAAAAAUCUGGGCCCCAGGAAAUAGGUGGACCUGAAUGGCAGUCACGUUUACUUGGCUUUGACAGUUUCAAGAAAAAAGGUGAAAAUUGCAUGUUCUCACUCAUAGGUGGGAAUUGAACAAUGAGAACACAUGGACACAGGAAGGGGAACAUCACACACUGGGUCGUGUUGUGGGGUAGGGGGAGGGGGGAGGGACAGCAUUAGGAGAUAUACCUAAUGUAAAUGACGAGUUAAUGGGUGCAGCACAGCAACAUGGCACAUGUAUAAUAUGUAACAAACCUGCACAUUGUGCACAUGUACCGUAAAACUUAAAGUAUAAUAAAAAAGAAAAAAGAAAAAAGGUGAAAAUAAAAGUUCUGUUAUCAACUUGUGAAAACAGCAUUAUAGCAUAUAGAAACCCAGCAUUGCUAGGCAGUUCUAAGGAGCCAUACCAGGCUUGUCCAACCCAUGGACCAACACAAAUUCAUAAACUUUCUUAAAACAUUAUGAAUUUUUUUGUGAUUUUUUUUUUUUUUUUUUUGGCUCAUCAGCUAUCGUUAGUGUUGGUGUAUUUUAUGUGUGGCCCAAGACAAUUCUUCUUCUUCCAGUGCGGCCCAGGGAAGCCAAAAGAUUGGACACUCCUGACCUAUUACUAUGAGCAAGUUGAAGUGGUUUUGAAUGCUGUAGCUCAUGUUGUGAUUACCAGUGUCUCCAUUUGAUAUGGUUUGGCUGUGUCCAAACCCAAAUCUCAUCUUGUAGCUCUCAUAAUUCCCACAUGUUGUGAGAGGGACUUGGUGGGAGAUAAUUGAAUCUUCGGGGUGGUUUACCCCAUACUGUUCUCGUGGUAGUGAAUAAGUGUCAUGAGAUCUGAUGAUUUUAUAAGGAGUUUCCCCUUUUGCUUGGCUCUCAUUAUCUCGUCUGCCGCCAAGACGUCUGUGACUGACCCUUUCCUGUACUCUGUACAAGGGGGCCUCACUCUCCUGGCAGUGAGACGUGCCUUUCACCUUCCGCCAUAAUUGUGAGGCCUCUCCACCCACGUGGAGCUGUGAGUCCAUUAAACCUCCUUUUCUUUAUAAAUUACCCAGUCUCGUGUAUGUUUUUAUCAGCCACGUGAAAAGGCCUAAUAUACCAUUCUGGUCAUUUAUAAUUUUUAUUUAUGCUUUUAUUUAUAAUUUUUAAGAUCCAGUCAGUCCACCUGCAGUCAUGAGAAAUGAUAAGCCGUUAUCGUUUGAGCCAUGAUAAGUUUUGUGGUGGUUCGUUUUGUAGUAAUUAGAUACUUGAUACAUCGGGUAUAUUCAUAAUUUUUUAAAAAAUGGAGUAAAGUUUGAUUAUUCUGUUUAUGUAUAUUUGGCACUGAAUAAUUUAGUUAUUUCCCAGACUCUAAUCUGUUCUUAAAAAAUAAUGGCUUACUGCGUUAAGGAUUUUUCCAAAGAAUGUCCUAUAAAAUAGGCAAUUUGAAAAGAGAGAUUCCAGCAGGCGUUGAGUCCUGGCAGUAUUCCUAUGGAAUAAGCCUGUAGCAUCCCAAGGUGAUUACUUUUUGGUAUCUUAAAAGUAAAGCAGCUUCAUUCCUUGUGUCCAGAAACAUUUCCCCCCAAGGACUACAAAAGCCUUACAAAACAUCAUCAUCAUUCUCACAGUAUUUUUAGAAUCAAGUAGGAAGGUAAUUUUUUUUUUUUUUUUUUUUUUUUUACAGACCAUGUUUCCUGGUCAGAUAUUUCUGGUUUUGUACUUAAUAAUGAAAUAAGCAUAUUAAGACAAAGAUCUUAUGUUCACCUGUAAGUUUUAUGGAAAUGACCUUUUUAUAUUCUUAGAAUAAAAAGUAACAAAUUCUAAGCAACAGUCUUCUAAAAAAUGUAUGUAGUAACUGUCCAGUGUGGCAUUCAGUGCCCUCAAGCAUGGGAAUGGAGCCCUUGUCAGGCAUCUGUGACUGACCCUUUCCUGUACUCUGUACAAGGGGGCCUCGCUCCCCUGGCAGUCACCUGCCCCUUGCUAGGUGCUGAAGCUGUACAAAGCCUAGUCCUUUUCUCAGCAGACCAGGGAAAGGGGUGGGGAUGGGCUGAUGGCUUAUUAGAGAAACGUAGUAGGAAUAGCGUGUAAAAUUCAAGGAGGAAAGUGAGCCCUUGUUGAUUGUACACUCAAAGCUAGUAGCUUUUUCCUUUUUAUUUUUCUCUUAUCGUUACGUUGCACCUCAGAAGAUGCCUGGUACUUUUAAGUAAAGCAACAAAUAUAGGAAGAAUUGAACUGCUCUUUUCAGGAUCCUGAUGGAUGUCUCAAAUGUUUCUAGACCUUGAUAAAAGUACUUGAGCCUGUCAAUAGCCUAGACGUUUUAAAAGCUGCUUAUGCUUUUUAUUUCUUGGGAAAUGCUUGUUUUGAGUUGUGUGUCUUGUUUUAAGCCAAACAAGUGCCAUCUGUGGUUGUGCUGCUAGUACAUUUCUCCUUGACCUCACAAUAAAAUACUGAUUUUGAAAGCACCAGCCUGUCUUUUUACUGCAGAGGUAAUUUGGGACAGGAGUGGCGGGUGCCUGGGGAAGGAGUUCUGCACUGCCAGCCUCAUGGAUGUGAGAGAGAAAGGGGAGUUCUUUUCCUUGGUCGAUGGUCACGGAGGAGGAAGAGUGUGAACUUGCUCCUUUUGUUCUGCAGGUUGUCUUGGUCUGUCUUUAUGAUGGUGGGCAGCUUAGGGACAAGCAAGGUCCUGGCACCCCUGGUUGAGUGAGUGGACCACAUGCUAACAUUGUAUGGCCAAUGUUGGUCUCUAGGUCGUAUGGGAAUGUGUACUUAAGUAUGGUGGAAAAAUAGCUAAUUAAGUAGAGAUUUCAAGAAACAAAGGAUUGGAGGAAGAUAUUGCCCAAAAUAAGACUAUUGUAUAUUAUCCUAUGAAGUCCUGAACCCUGUCUCUCGUUAAAAUGCUAUUCAGAUUCUGGGGAACAGAGAUGAAGUAACAGGUACAGUGUAACAUGGAGAGUUAACCUAAGGAUAUAGGAGCUUAAAGCAGUGACCCUGACCUGGGCAAGUGCCUUCUCCUCGUUGCCUCCGUUUCCUCACUGUAAAAUGCAGAUAACAAUAGUACUCAUUCACAGGGCUGUUCUGAUGAUUCAGUGAUUUAAUGUUUGUAAAGAGCCUAGAACAGGGCCUGCCACCAUGUAUACACUUUAGUAAUAAUAUUAGUCAGGGGUGUUUCUAGCCGUGUAGAAGUCUGGGAUGUGUGGUGUCACCCCUUCUUCAGGGUUCCUCUUCCAAGCUCUUUUUCCUGCUCUCUGUUUCCACCGUGGCUACAGUAGAGACAGAGACCAGUAUUUGUGGUGCAAAGGGAAGUGCCCACGGAUUCAGGAGGGCACAGGAUUUUAUUGUCUUAAAUCAUUAACUAUUGCCAGAAAAAUCCACAGAACAUCGUUGUGUAACUGCAGCUGCAGGAAGUGUCUGCUUUCUGGCCUCAGCGCCAGGGAGGUGGAGUUACUGAGCACAUCCACCACAUGCUUCCUGGGCUGUUUGUUUUGUGGAUUGCAAACUCUUUGGAAAAUAGAACAUGCAAUCUAGGGAAAAGAAUAAGAACAGAGGAUAAAAUAAUUGUCCCCAUAAUGGAGCAGCUAACAGUUUCAUUCAGAAGUACCUGAAACAGUGAACAGUAGCUCCUCAGCAUUUGAAGUAACAUUACAAGUCAAUACACUGUUCGUUUCGUUAGAUUCAAAAUGAAGAUCUAUCUUGUAUCUGAGGUUCCUUGGCCAGGGACAGGAUAAAAGCCCCUGGCAAAAAUAGGAAUUAUCCAGCUGUAGUUACAAUUAAAUUUAAUUCAUGAAUGCUACAUAUCAUACUUCAUAAUAACAUUAAUUUUUAUUAUCUGGCUACUGUGUUAUUAACGCAAAAUAUAAGAAUUAUUAGUGUUUCAGAAGAUACCAGUUGGUUUCUUACUAAUGAAAACAUAUACGCAUACAAAUACUUUUAUACAAAUGUUUUUCAAUUUAUUUAUUUAUUUAGAGACAUAGUCUCACGCUGUCACCCAGGCUGGAGUGCAGUGGCGCACUCUCUGCUCACUACAGCUUCUGCCUCCUAUGUUUAAGUGAUUCUCAUGCCUCAGCCUCCUGAAUAGCUGGAAUUACAGGCCCGUGCCACCAUACCCAGCUAAUUUUUGUAUUUUAGUAGAGAAGGGGUUUUGCCAUGUUGGCCAGGCUGGUCUCAAAUUUCUGACCUCAGGUGAUCUGCCUGCCUCAGUCUCCCAGAGUGUUGGGAUUACAGGUAUGAGCUACUGUGUACAUUUAAAAACGUACUUUUUAUUUUUGAGAUGGUUUCUCACUCUGUCACCCAGACCAGAGUGCAGUGGCGCAAUCUCAGCUCACUGCAACCUCUUCCUCCUGGCGCAAGUGAUCCUUCCACCUCAGCCUCCUCUGUAUCUGGGACCACAGCAUCGCACCACCACAUGUGGCUAAUUUUUUGUAUUUGUGGUAGAGACGGGUCUCACUGUGUUGCCCGUGCUGGUCUUGAACUACUGGUCUCAAGCAGUCCACUUGCCUAGGCCUCCCAAAAUGUUGGGAUUAUAGGCAUGAGCCACUGCUCCUGGUCUAAAAUGUACUUUUUUAGAAAAAGAAACUUCUUUUUAAAAAAACUAAGCAUACUGCUUAAUUCCUCUAGAUUCUUGCUCUUGUCUUGACUUUGCAUCCUCUGAACGCAACUUGUGGUCAGAUUCUCCAGAUGUUUCUUAUCCUCUGAAGUUUAACUCAACCUCUUUCUCCCAGUAAGCCUCUGAGGUCCCAGCAGCCUCUUUCUUAGGUCCCACUGCCCUUCUUUUCUGGCGUGUGCCUAACCUGACAGUUGCUGCCUUGCUCCUGAAAUUUGUCAUUCCAUUUCGAUGGUGCCUGUGUGUUACCUGUGCAUGACUAAAGUGCAUAUUCAUUAUCUGGGUGAGACAGUACAGAUUGGUGUAUAGUAUUUUACAGCCACUUCAUUAUAUGCUAUUUCCGUGUACUGCCAAAAAAGAGAAUAAAACUUCCUAGGAUAUAAGUACCUACUGCUGUUUUGGUGCAUGUCCAGUUAGGCUUUUCUCUUUUUAUUUGUUUGUGUACCUGUAACUCCAUAUAAGCAUAUAUAAUCAUGUUACAUAUUUUUAAAAGGGGUCAUUUUGCAAUGUAGUUUUAUCACUAGUUUUUUCUCUGUCAAGUGAUGUGUAAAAAUGGAUCACAAGUCUAAAUUUAAAACUAUAAGACUUAGGAGAAAAUCUUUGUGAUCUUGGAUUAAACAAAGAUUUGUUAGAUAAGAUACAGAAAGUAUGAACAGCAUAAGAAAAACGUCUAUAGUUUAAACUUUGUUGUAUUUAGUUUUGCUUUUCAAAAUACACCUUUAAGGAAAUGGUCUAGGUAUGGUGGCUCACACCUGUAAUCCCAGCACUUUGAGAGGCUAAGGUGGGAGGUUGGCUUGAGGCUAGGAGUUCAGGAGCAGCCUGGGCAACAUAGCAAGACUGUCUCUACACACACACACACACACACACACACACAGCAUGGUGGCAAGACUGUCUCUACACGCACGCGCGCACACACACACACACACACACACACACACAGCCAGGCAUGGUGGCAUGCACCUGUAGUCCUAGCUGCUUGGUAGGCUCAAGUUGAGGAUUGCUUUAGCCCAGGAGUUCAAGGUUACAGUGAGCUGUGAUCGUGUCACUGUACUCAACUCCACCCUGGGCAAUAGAGCAAGACCUUGUCUCAGAGAGAGGGAGAAUGAAAAUACAAGCCACAGACCAAGACGAAAUAUUUGUAAAUCAUAUAUCCAAUAAAGGAUUUUUAAUCCAGAAUAUAUGCAGAACUUGUAUAACACAAUAAAAAGAACAAAACCAAAUUAAAAAUUGAGCACAAGAUUUAAAUAGACACUCAACAAACAAGGGCAAAUAAACACAUCAGAAGAUGUUCAAUAUCAUUAGUCACUAGGAAAGUACAAAUUUAAAUCACAACGAAAUACCACUACUCACUUAGAACAGCUAUAAUAAAAAAGAUUGACAUUGCCAAGUGUUGAUGAGGGUGUGGAGAAACUAGAACCCUCAUAAAUUGGGAAUAUAAAGUUGUACAGUCAGUUUGGAAAACAGUUUGCAAUUUCUUAGGAGUUUAAACAUAGGCUUAUCAUUUGAACCAGCAGUUUCACUCCUGUGUAUGUCCUUCUAAAGAAAUGAAAACAUGUCUGCACAAAGACUUUUCUACGAAUGUACAGCAGUAUUACUCCUAAUAGCCAAAAAUGAAAUGAUCUAAAUGUCCACCAACUAGAAUGGAUAAACAAGAUGUGGUAUAUCAUCAUCAUAUCCAGAUGGUUAAAUACUCCUCAGCAAUAAGGAACAAAUUUCUGACACAUGCCACAACCUGAGUGAACCUCACUGACUGCAUGCUAAGUGAAAGAAGCCAGACACAAACUACUACAUACUGCAUGAUGCCAUUUCUAUGAAAUUUCCAGAAAAGGCAAAAUUAGACAAAAAGCAUUUCAGUGGUUGCCUUGGGGUAUGGGCCAGUGAGAGGAUUGACUGCAAAGAGUCACAAGGAAACAUUUCAGAGUGAAGAAAGUGUUAAACCAAACUAAAGCCUGAAGAUGUCUCUGUGCUUCGAGUCCUUAUGUAAGCAACUGUAAUCUAACUUAGUAUGUAAACUGACAGAAAGUAUGACUGAAGAGUAUACUUCUGUGACAAAUAGCUGACUCUCAGCCAAUCACAGCAGCUGGGCUUCAGUUAGUCACAAGUGGCCAGUUCAUCAGACCUUGUUCAAAUAAGGCAAAGGCUGAGUUUUAACCAGUUGAGCUGUUUCUAUACCUCACUUCUAUUUUCUGUUCAUUAGUGUUGCCUACCUGAAGUGGAACUCUCUGAACCCUCUGCUGGUUCUAAGGGUUUCCUCAUUUUCGAAUCAUCCUUUUCUCAGUUAAACUCUGUUAUAAAGUUUGUUUGUAAAACUGGAUUGUAAAACUGGAUUGUGAUGUCGUAAAACUGGAUUGUGAUGCUGGUUGUGCAUUUAUAAAUUUACUACAGUCCAUGUAAAAUGGGUGAAUAUUUUAAAAAUAGUGCACCAGAAUUUAUUCGUCAGGUCGCAGUUUACAAAACCCUUUGCCAUUUUCUGUUUCAUCUAGUCCUAAGAGGUAGAUUACAUUCCUGUUUUCCAGAAGAGGAAACUGAGGGCUAGUGCCGGUAACUUACAGGUCUCAGAGCCAGUAGGUCCCAUUCUCGUGUUCUGACCAUAGAACCCUAUCUGCUAAAAUUAGUACAUUUUAUGGUAUGUAAAUUAUACCUCAAAAUACCUCAUGACGUUGUAAAGACCAUAUUGUGAACAUCCUUUAUGUCAGGAACUAUAUUUGCCAUCAUUUCUUAAAAUUCAUAUUGGAACGUUUUAGACAUACAUAGAAGUAGAAAGAAUGGGUGAUGCCACCCGUGAGCUCUUCAGCAGUCACCAUCUGUGGCCUGUCACGUGUCAUGUCACUACUCCCUCAAUUACUUUGAGGCAAGUCCCAGUUACUAAUAUAUUCUUUCUCCUGUAAAUAGUUUAGUGUAAUGUCAUUAUUUUUAAAAUGAUUGCUUACUCUUCCAUGCUUGUAUCAUACUGGGUUAAACCAGUGGUUGAUAGUGGGUCACUUGAGUUGACUCUUCUGUAUGGCCUUGGGGGUGCAGCCACAGACACCCUGUUAGCUGGCUCUCCCGAGCAGCCGUUGUUAGUUGAGCUCCGUGGUCUAGAGGAACUCCGUGUUGUUUGAGGUUGUGCAGCACACUUUUUUUUUUUUUAAAUUAAAUGCUUUAAAAUGUACUCUAAGAAAAAGAAAAGAUUCAACAGAAUUCACAGUAUUGGCCCUCAAGGCAGUAUUUUUAAAUUGUCAGGAGGUUUUUAUCAGACUCAGAUCUUCUGGUGAGAGGAAUUUAGGAGGGCUUCUGCACAGAGGGACAGAGGCAGUGACAGAGCGUUGCAGCCCCCCAGAGUGGGGUCCCCAGGGUAUUGGCUGCUCCCCUUCUCCCUGUGUGCAGAGCUCCCUGUGUGCGGAGCUCCCCGUGUGCAGGCCUAGCAUCCAGCUUGCAGCGUGGACCAAGCGGGGUCCUGGUGCCAUGGGAGCCCUGGUUGCUGGAGGAGCCCAGCUGGGGCCACAACUAGGGCAGUGAGUGCAGGGUAUGGCGCCCCAGGUGGGGUCAGGGGGAGUCAGAUGGAGGAGCGGUCGGGCCCUUUGGUUGAGUUUUGAAGGAAUACAAGUAGAUGGUAGAUGAACGGGGAAGUUCUGUGUAGAAGGUUGGAAGUGUGAAAUGGCAUGAAAUUAAACCACUGGUUACAUUUGAGGACAGCUUCCUUGUUGACAGAUGUAGAAACUGAGUCUAGGGAAGCUUUGGCUUGUCUGAGGCCACCGAGGUAAUUGUCCAGUGACCCCAGCCAAGAGUAGGGGUGUCCUGCUUUCUCCAGGCUCUGCACCCUCUGCCGUGAUCCCCAUGGGGACCUAUUUGCAGCCAGCCAUUUUGUGGCCUGUGUUUAGCUUCUUGCUGUCCAGGUGCCCUUUAACUUAUGGGAGCAUCUGUCAGAGCCCAUUUAGAGGUCUCUCUUUUCCAGAUCUGUGGAGCAAUUGAGAGGAGGUUAUUUUGCAGCAUUUGUUUCUUCUAAAUUUCCUUUCAAACCGCUUUUGAAAGUGUUUUUUUAUUUUUUUUUUUUUUGUUGUGGUUUUAUGAUUGUUUUGGGGAAAAACCAUGAAAGAAAAAGGAAAUAAAUUUUUAUUUCAACAUGAAUCAUAGAGAUCACUCUUAUUUUUUCAUCAGUUAUUGUAGCAUUAUGUUUUUAAAGUGCAGCUUACUCUAUUCAGCCUUAUUGUCCGGUAGUUCUACGUACAGUUAAAAUUAAAAUUUGAAUUCAGCAGAAAUGAAGUGGAUGUCAGAGGAUGACACAUAUUCAAAAAGUCCAUCUGUCCUUAUCUUGUCCUACCCUCCACUCCCUUCCUUCUUUCACCCUUCUCCUCUCUGUCCUCUUUCUCCCUUCCCUUCCUUCCAUCCUUCCCACUCCUGCCCUUGUAAGUUUGCCAUGAGCCCCUAGAUAACUUAGGUCUAUUUCCUUGACAUUUUUGGGAAUUGCUGAGGUUUACUGGAGACCACUUGAAGCCAUGCCAAUUGCAAAUAAUAAUCACAAUAAAGGUCACAUUAACAUUAUUUUUAGACCUUUUGACUUUACCUUCUUCUGACUUUCCAAUUAGAACAGUAAGUUAUAGUUAGAUCGAUGAUUCAUAUAUUUAACCACUGCCAAAAUCAUUUCCUCAAAAAGAGGAGAAUCAGAGAGUUGGGUUUCUAGUAUCUCAGAAAGAAUCAUCAUCUCAAAGAUUUGAUGUAAAAAGCUUAGCUGUUAACAUAUAAUAAUUUGGGCCGGCAAAAUGCUUAAUAUGAAUGAGUAAUUUAGACCUGUUUAUAAGCAAACCUGGCAUAAAGCUCAUAUUUUUAAAUGGCUUGCUAACUUUAAAUGGACUGACAUAAGCAGUCAUUACUAUAAAUUUGCCUCUGCUGUGAAUUAACCUACAAUAAAACAUACAAUAAUUUAAAAUAUGAAACAAUAAAAUAUUUUGCCAUGUGUGCUUGAAGGUAUAUAUUAAAACACGAAUCUACCAGUUGAAGUGUUAUAUAUAGAGCUUUCCUGAGCACACUCAGUUGGUUUUUUUUUUUUUUUUUUGUCAAUUCAAGGUCUGUUCUUUAGAAAUUAAUAAGAACAAUCUUUUUGUCACAUGUGUUUUCUCUUGGCUAGAUCUGCAUACAGAGAGCAACAGUUUGUUCUUAAGAAACAGAAUGUGGCAAUCUUUUUGGUAUUCUGAUCAAAUAGUACUAUGAAGAAAAAAUUAUCAAUGAAAUAAAAAGUAUAAAGAGAAAUAUAGUAGAUUAAAGUAAAUUAGUGGGGACAAAUGCCGUGGCUCACAUCUGUAAUCCCAUCAACUUUGAGAGGCCAAAGUAGAAGGAUCACUUGAGCCCCGGAGUUCAAGACCAGCUUAGGCAACACAGUGGUGAGACCCCAGCUCUCUAAAAAAAAAAGACCAAGCGUGGUGGCAUGCACCUGUGGUCCCAGCUACUUGGGAGGCUGAGGUUGGAGGAUCACUUGAGCUUGGGAGUUUGAGGCUACAGUUAAUUAUGAUCCUGUCACUGCACUGCACCCUGGGCGACAGAGUGAGACAUUGUCUUAAAAAGAAGAAAAAAGGCAAAUUAAUGGUUUAAUGGUUAAAAUGUGUUAUUUAUAGUUUGUAGAGUACUCAGGAAGGAUAGAAUUAUAAAUAGGUGGCAUGGACAGCUUCCAUCCCUAUAAGGACCAACAGGCGGGUUUUUGAGGACCAGAAAGAUUUCCAGCUCACCCAAGUAUGUUGAUUUGGUGCCUGGGCUGGUGGCUCCCUCUGAAGUCACACCCCAGUGCAGCUCCCCAGGGCUCCUGUGGAACCUUCGGAGAACUCCAGCCAACUUCUCCGAACCUUGUUUCCACCCCAACUCUCCCUCCAGACUCACAUACCUGCUCAAACGUGCAGAUGCUGCUUUCAUUGAACCUCAGAUGUCUCAGGCAUGUAGGGUGUUUUAAAUUUCAGACACCUAAAAUAAGGUGUCUGAAAUUUAAAUGUUAACCUGUGCCAAUAAAAAUAGCAGAAGUGCCUGAGGAAGGACUAUGGUGGGGGGGUAAGAAUUGUUGGCAUUAUCGAAGAAAAAGGAAAGAGCUAUGUCCCCCCAUCCCCAAAAUGGAGAACAAAGCAAAUUACCCUAUCCUGACCAGUGUACAUCAGGUCCACUGAUUGAUUAUAGCCAGGAAGUUAGGGUUUGGCACUUCAUUGCUCAAUUUUGUAAUUUACACAUUGAAUUUGCUUUGCAUCAACUUUUGAGAAAGUGGUUCUCAUGACUUAUAUUUGUAUAGUACUCAUACUUGUUCAUUUAUUUUCUAGCAAUCAGGAGACCAAAUAGGGUAGCCUGUACUUUCUUCAUGUUUGCCUGAUGAAAACACUGUACGGUUAGUUAAGACUCAUGGCCGGAUCUGAUUUGUAAUUUCUUGUUUCUGACCAAGAAGAGUUCAGUUGCUGUUUAACAACACGGACAAAGUACACUAGGGGAAUUCAGAGCAGGUGUGAGGUUCUUUCUGCUCCUGGAGGUUUGUGUGCUCUUUACAAACAACCUUGCAAACACUGAGGUUGGGAGGGAAACAAGUCUGCUUUGCACUUAGAGCGUAGAAGGAUUUCUUUGGAUGGAAUGAAGGAGAAGAAAAGUACAAUUUUCUUCCUCCUUCUCCUCCCUCCUCUUUUCACUCUUCUUCCCCUCUUCUCUCUUAAAAAUUAUUUAUUUCUAAAUUAUCAGGUUAAUAUAUGUAAACUAAUAUAUUGGUAUAUAUAAAUGACACUAUACUAUAUUAAUAUAUAAAUAUAUAAAAUUAUUUAUAAUAUAUGCAUUAUGUAUAUAUAUUAACCUGAUAAUUAACGUUAGCUGCUAGCAGAGGCGAGCAGGCUACUUUCACAUGCUUGACUCACCAGUUAGAUACUAAGCUGAUGCACAAGUUAGCUGUGCUUGUUUCUAACCCGUUUAUGCCAAGUACACCUUUACUAUCACAUGUAGUUUAAUUAAAUGUUUUCUGAGUAUUUUCAGAUAUGAGUGGGAAAAGUAUUUCUGUAAAGGCUAAAUUGAAUGAUUUGGGAUGACUUGUUAAAGAUGAUAUGUUUAAAUUAAGCUGUCAUAUUAAGCACGGGAGAGAACUGUAAAGUCAGGGAGAAUUUUGUAAACAUCUAUGAGCAUUCUGACCUUAGUUUCUUUCAGAGUGUGUCUGUAUUCUAACUCCACUUUAAUAAGGAUGAAUGCCAGAAUUGGAGUAUUAGGGUUUAUUCAAGUAAGACAAUGAAGAGAUUCUGUCCAGAGAUUCAUCCUUCAUUCACAAAAAGACCAUGGUACGGGCCCAGGGCAGGAGACUGACAGCGAGGGACGGGGCUGUUCAAGCGGCACUCAGCAAUGUGCCUGUAUUGAGCGGGAGGAUGAAAGAAAACCAUAUUUAAUGUGUGCUUUCUAAUGACUCUCUGCUUUAACUGACUUAGUUAAAAAUUAUCUUACCUGACUACAAGUGAUCCCCUUGAGAAAGAGAGCUUCAUGCAGUCAGGCAAGCCGCAGUCAGGGCUGUCACUGCUUGAGUUUACUGUCAUGUGCUCCUGCUGGAAAUCGAUCAGAUUCCUUAAUCUUUAAAUUGCACACAGGUGGAAACCUAGAGAAGGGCUGGGUGGACUGGCCAUCUUGAAGGCUGAAAUUGGUGGCAUCAGUUGCUCUCUGCUACCCUGACAGAUCCAUAAGCCAUGGUGUUCAUGGUUAGAGACAGAGCCCUUCAGGCCCCGUGGAAGGGGAUGCCAUGAGUCACCUAGGGAGGGCCGCUGGAGAAUUCCUCUCUUCACAGGCAGAGAACCAAGACUGUUUGUCCAAGACUCACAGAUGUUUGACCACACACUGAAAAACUGAGACUCCAGUAUUGAGAACUCAGUAGGUGUUUCCUUACCUCCUGUUUUCUGAAAGGAUGCAGGGUCAUCUCGGUUUGGAAAUACAGGUUAGUCUGACCAACACACAGUUUUUUGCAAAGGUUAGGGGAAAAAAAUCUGUUAUUUAAAAUCUACCAGAUGUUAUUGGCAUCUACCGUAGCUCACCAGAAAAUUUGAAAGAACAUAGCAGAAUGGGUGCAGACCUAUUAUAAUACAAAUCAGAAAUCAAUUUCAUUGUCACUUCAGUUCACCUAAUUAUUUUUUAAUGGAUGAAUGAAACCGAGUGUUAUAUUUCACUUUGAUGAUACAGGACCUCAUUGAUUUGUCUGUGACAUCAGUCAAUGUACGUGUGUAGACAAGUGUGUGUUCUAUUUAUUUCUGACAGAGGUGAAAGAAACACCUUAGGUAAUGAAACACAUCCUACCUUAAAUCAUUUGAACUCAUUGAUUUCAAAUCAGUAGUUAUGAUGUUAUUUUUUCCUUUUACAGUUUAAAAAAAUUGUGUUAAAUGAAGUGCCUUUAAAAACUUGGAGGAAGAAAGUAAAAUGAUGAGAAAUUUAUUUUGUAUGAAAAGUAAAUCUUUUCUGUAUUUGGUGUUUACCAUGUGUAAUUUAAAAAGGAGGCCAGACUGUCUAGUUCAAUAAUAAGAAUGGAGAAAUGAAUUUUGACCAAAAAAAGCAGCCUAGAUUUUCUCGACUUCUGUACUGAUAAAGAUGAUUUGGAGCUUAUCUUCUUCACAACUGUUUUAGGUGAAAGAAAAAGAAAACCAUAACAAACCUAACUAAAAGCAUGCAUCGUUUUUUAUAUGAUGCUAAUUAAGAGAUGGUUGAAUUGUGGCAGUUGCUUCUACUACAUUUCUUUCACAAACGUUCUUUUAUAGUGACUUUGUUAUUCGUGUCUGCCAAUGCACACUGUUAGUGUUUAUUGGUGUAUAAUGACAAACCUUGAUUGUGAUCUGGAAACCUGUCACAGUUUAUAAUGAUUUUACAUAUUAUUAGUGAAGAUGCUAGUGAUAAAAACUUGAUUUUUUUCCUUCAGCUUUCUUUAUUCAGACCAACCUUCUUUUAUAUAUGGCCUUGAGAACUUCUGCAAAGUUUGGUUUUUCAUCCAUAAAAUGGCUUUAGACUAAAUGAUUCCUUAAGUCUCUUUAGCUCCAAGAUUUAAUGAUUCCACAAAGUUUGAGAUCUUUUAGCACCAAGAUCUAAUGAUUCCAUGAAGUGUGAGAUCUUUUAGCUCCAAGAUCCAGUGAUUCCAUGAAGUGUGAGAUCUUACUUGUAUGUACAAAUCUAUUUGCAAUUUCUCCAGUGGCCUGGGUUAAGUUCCACUACUCCAAAGUGCCUAGAAAUCGAGAAACCAUAAAACUAGUUUUUGUUCUUCUAAAUAGACAACUGAAUUUUGACAAUAGAAGCUAGUUUUGAGAGUUGGUCACUUAUUUAUGUUGAUUUCAUUAUUUAAAAAAUUUUCCUUAGCGAUUAAGAACUCGUGUUCUGGAAUCAAAUUUGAAUUCCAUCCCCUCCACUUAAUCAAGCCGUUUGAUCUUAGGCACACUACUUUCCUUGUCUGUGCAUCAGCUUUCUUGUCUGUAAAUUAGGAGUAGUCAUGGUAUCUACCUCUUGGCCUUCUUGUGAGGAUUCCAUGAGAUAAUCCAUGCAAAGCUUGGUUCACAGCAAGAGCUUAACAAGGAUUGACUCCUCAGAUUGUGAUGGGGACUCAUUCCUGGUAGUAGCAAGCCUGCACAGACAUCUUUCCUUCCAUUAAGUUCAAGAGUUCUUUGAGUCUGCCCAUAGCACUAGUUUUAUGAUCUGGAAAUGCUGCAGAUUCUGUUUUCUCUUAGGUAGUUUAUGAAUGGGUUUGGCUGUAUUAGAGUUGAAUUUGUCUCAGACCUAGCCAUAGAAUUCACACUUGUCCAACCAUUGUUGUUAGUUUUGCCUGCCCAUUUAUUUAUACACCUAUUUGAAAAAAGACGUGGUGUUUCAAACAACAAGGUGGUUUUUCUCUUCUUGUUUGUAUUUGCUUCACCUUCUUGGAUUGUUGGAGUUGGUGUUGCGUAUCCAACCAUUCCGAAAGAGCUGAAUGGUCAUUGAGUUGAUUAUGUCUUAGAAAUAACUUGUGGUCUGUUCUCAUAAUACUGACAUCAAGGUGUCAGUGUAUUUCAGUGCAUGCCAUAAACAUCUGUACAGUGGAUUGGAGUCAUACCCCUUGGUUUUUAAAGACUCUGUGUAUUGUAUUAUUGCCAAUGUCAUUCCAUUUGGUAUGUGCCAGGAUGGGAGCAGUAUUAUAAAAGCAUGUUUAUCGUUUAACAUGAUUCAGUGAUUCCAGGGAAACCGCCUCCAAGGGUCCUGAACCUGGUCGGUACAGUUGUUUUUCCUGUUUUCCAUGACUGGCCUAUUUGCCUUGCUGCAUCAAAUCCUUGUAAUAGCCUCACAAGGUAGAUAGCCAGACCAAGGUCUCAUCGUUAGGAAGGGAAGCUAACAUUGGAAUCCAGCAGCCUGGCCAGAGCCAGGCUCUUAACUGCUCUGCCACAUCUUAGAAACCUCCUACAGGGUGAGGAGGCACGCUGGGAACAGCCCAGCUGAAGACGGCAGGGCCAAGUGGCCUGGUAUGUGGGCAGAGGCCCAGGUCAUGCAUUCCUCCUCCAGCACGAUGCCCCAUGCGUCACCGAGCUCUCUCAUUACUAGUCUUUUACAUACUUCAUUCCUCCCAUUGUUUACUAAAGGAUGUUUGUUACUAAGCAUACCUGGAGCCAGGAAUUAACAAAACAACAGAACCUACAGUGUCCUGAGAGCCACUGUACAGCAUGUGGUCAUUAUACCCAGGCCAUUCAGGUCAACUCUCUGAGGUGUCCUAACUGUCCUGUUAAACGAUUACCAGGAGCGUUCACAGAAAGGAAAUGCCAUCCCUACAGCUGCAGCUUCUUUCUGGGCCCCUUUCUUGCCCUCAUUCCUGGCACUAGUCCCCAGGAGAGCGAGAGUUAUUGCAUUGAAAUGACCAUAAAGCUUUUCCUCUCCUUCCUGCUGUCCCCCACCAGCCCAGGUAUGAAGUAUACAGAAGGUUGGGAAUUAGGAUUCUGGGGCUUUCCCAUGCCAGCCACCAUAGCUGCAGCCUGCUCAGUCACAGGCACACUCAGUUAUUAAAAUUAGAUUUCUGAUUUAUAGGAAGAUUGUCUUGAUCAAUGAUGACAAGGGCAUACCUGACUAAAUUAAUGAGAAAAUGGUUAGGGUAAGUCCUGGGCAGCUAUGUGAAUGUGAGUAUCGUUCUAGAAGUGUGUGUGGCACUUGCUGCAGCCCUGUGUGGCUGUCCUGGCACUCGGUUCCCGGUGUCAGGGCCUCUGGUGUGUGAUUGUCGCAGCAUGUGUGGGGCUGUAUGUGUGGGCAUUCCCAGCCUGACACAUGGCUUGCAUAAUAAUUGCAUAAGGUUAUAGGAAAGUGUCUCUGUCUUUUACACCGUAUUGCCAGUACUGAUCAGUCCAAAGUUUGAGAAAAUAGUAAAAGAAUAACAUGUAUGGUUGAAGUCAAGCAUUUAAAAAAACAUUCAAUAACUUUUUGAAAGAAGACUCUGCUUUUCUGAUUAAAUAAAUAAAAGUGUUAUUAAUGAUUUUGAAUAUAACUAUAGUUCAUGUGUGUGUUGGGGGGAGAGUCUCGUUUACCUUCCCACAACAGAUUGGAUUUUAAAAUGCGACUUUUGCAAAGUAAGUAAGAUUCAGCACAGGGGCAUGUUUUCAUCUCUGCACUUUGUCAUCUGUGUCAGUAAGCAGUUAAGUGGCACAGACCUGCCUGGACCCCACUUUGGCAGGUUGUUAGGAUGAGUUAGUGAAGUCGUCGGUUUAGAGAGCUUAGGGUGGUGCCUGGACAGGGUGAGUGUCUAAUGAUUGCUAAAGUAAUUUUCUUAAUUUUAUUAUGAAAUCGUAAUAACCCACAUAGAAGGCUGAUAUUAAGACCACAGAAGAAAUAGUCGCAAUGUUUAUGUCAUUUAAUUUGAAAAAAUUCUUGACUUUUCCAACAAUUAGCAUCCAAGGACCUGAGCUGAGUCUCUAAGAGUUAGCUCUACUGUAAAAUUGAUGUUGAAAUACAAACAAAACAAAAAAACCCAAAACCCAACAACAUAGUAAGAGUAGUUUAGAACUGAAAAGAAAGUCUCAGGCAAGUCUUAAAGAGCAGGCGGGCCCUGGGCGAGGCUGCGCAGUGGGGCUGGAGCAGGGGCUCCUCCCCACAGCGCUGCGGCUCCUGUGGUUCCUGUGCUCCUCACAAGAAGCCCAGUGGGGCAGGUGAGUGUUGCACAGCCUGUGCAGCCAGGGUUACACCCGGCUGCUGUGGGGGUUCCGCGGCCACUGCCCUCCUGCAUUAGAUGGGGCACCGAUUCGUGGUUGAAACGUGGCAGAUGACAAUUUCCAAAGGCUGUGAACUUUCCAAUAGCAGUAAACGCCUCUGAAGAGGACUGGGAUGUGGAAGUGGGAUCCAUGUGCCGCCGGCAGUGCCAGCAGCAACCCUUCUCCGGCUCUUACUGAGCUAGGGAAGCUGUUGCUCUGCGCCUUCUUGUUUAGUUUACAAGAUUUAGGACGAGUGCCUUGAUUUCUGAUGCUGUCAGAGACUUGGUCGAGGUGAAAUCUGGUAGCUCAGUUUAUAGAACUGUGACGAGGCCAGUGUGGUGGUGUGACAUUGGUGAACGUUUGUGAGAUGGAAAAGUACUACUAGACUUUAGCAGAUCCAGUGGCAUAAGAAACUAAGGCCAAGUGCUUUGUGUGUGUAUGUGAAGUGGAGAAGGAUGAGGUUGAUUUGCUUUCUUUUUCUAUAAUUUUUUUUUGUUGUUUACUCUGCAAAAGCCUGACCAGAUAAUUGUUUUCCUUACCCCCGCCCACAGUGGAGUAGGAAAACUCCAUUUAGAUCCUUGCCCUGUACUUCUGCCUCUGCAAACGUUGCUUUCCUUGUUGAAAAUACUCAGCCAGAGAGUCUUUGUGUCCUGUUUCAGUGCUGAAAAAAGAUCUGCUGCUUUCUAAAGUGUGCCUGUCUUUCCAACCCGUGUGGGAAUGCUGCCCGAGUGUUUGGAUGGCUCUAUCAAAGCCUUAGGCUGUUUCUGGCGGGAGUCAUAGGGGACCCUCCAGGUUUGUGGAUUCCCAGUUUUAGUACAGUGUCUUUACCACCAAUCCCGUAUUAUUAGGACAGUACUGCGGGUGGCAACAUGGGCCGGGUCUUCUGCUGUGAUGAGGGAUCACCUGCAUUAGUGUCACCUGGAAUACCUGUGAAAACGCAGAAUCCUCAGCACCACCUGAGGCAUCAGAAUCUUUGGGAUAGGGUUCAGAGUUCACUCUUACUCCGGGAUCUUUACGUGAGGAUUAACAUUAAAGAACCAUUUCUGGAGGAAGUAAAAUAGAUCAGUAUCUUUCAAGCAGCAGGUAGAGUCCAGCAGUUUUUUUUUUUUUUCAAACUAAAAGAUGCCCUAAAAUAGUACAGAAAUAACAGAGUUCAUUGCACAUAUCAAGAGUGAUUUUGUGAGUCUCUAAAGUCAGUAUGUAUAAGACAAGUGUUCAUGUACAGGCAAUUUUUUUUUUUUUUUUUUUACACUUUGUUCUAUUGUACAGAUACUGUGGGUUUGUUUUUUCUUUUUCUUCUUUCUUUCUUUUUUUUUUUUUAAAAAACAAAUUGAAGGUUUCUGGCAACCCUGUGUUGAGCAAGUGUAUCCAUGACAUUUUUCCAACAGCAUGUCCUUGCUUUGUGUCUCUGUAUCAAAUUUUGGUAAUUCUCACAGUAUUUCAAACAUUUUCAUUGUUAUAUGUUAUGGUGAUCUCUGGUCAGUGAUCUUUGAUGUUUUUAGUGUAAUUGUUUUGGAGCACUAUGGACCACACCCGUAUAUGGUGGCAAACUUAAUCAGUAAGUGUGUGUGUUCUGACUGCUCCGUUGACCAGCUGUUAACCCGCCUCUCUCCCUCUCCUCAGGCCUCCUGUUUUUGAGAGACAACAAUAUUGAAAUUAGGCCAAUUAAUAAAUCCAACCAUGGCCUCUAAGUGUUCAAGUGAAAGUAACAUUGGCACAUCUCUCACGUUAAAUCAAAAGCUAGAAAUGAUUAAACCUAGUGAAGAAGGCAUGUUGAAAGCUGAGACAGGCCAAAAGCUAGGCCUCUUGUGCCAAACAGCCAAGUUGUGAAUGUGAAGGAAAUUAAAAGUGCUACUUCAGUGAACACACAAAUGAUAAGAAAUCAAAACAGCCUAUUGCUGACAUGGAGAAAGUUUUAGUGGUCUGGAUAGAAGAUCCAGCCAGCCACAGCAUUCCCUUUAGGCAAAGCCUAAUCCAGAGCAAGGCCUCAGCAAAUUCUGAUAGAGGUGAGGAAGCUGCAGAAGAAAAGUUGGAAGCUAGCAGAGGUUAAUUCCUGAGAUUGAAGGAAGAAAGCCAUCUCCAUAGCAAAAGUGCAAGAUGAAGCAGCAACUGCUGUGGAAGCUGCAGCAAGUUCUCCAGAAGACCUUCCUAAGAUCAGAUUUUCAGUGUAGACAAAACAGCCUUCUAGUGGAAGAAGAUGUCAUCUAGGACUUUCAUAGCUAGAGAGGAGAAAUCAACAUCUGAUUUUAAAACUUCAGAGGACAGGUGACUUUCUUGUUAUGGGCUAAUGCAGCUGGGGACUUUAAGUUGAAGCCAGUGCUCAUUGACCAUUCUGAAAUUGCUAGAGACCUUAAGAAUUAUGCUGAAUCUACUCUGCCUAUGCUCUGUACAUGGAACAACAAAGCCUGGAUGAUAGCCCGUCUGUUGACAGCAUGGUUUACUAUUUUAAGCCCUCUCUUGAGACCUAUUGCUCGGGAAAAAAGAUGUUUUUUCCAAAAUACUGAUGCUCGUUAACAAUAUACCUAGUCACCCAAGAGCUCUUGUGUAGAUGUAUAAGAAGACUAAUGUUGGUUUUGUGCCUGCUAACACAACAUCCGUUGUGCAGCGCAUGGAUCAAAAAGCAAUUUUGACUUCCAAGUCUUAUCAUUUACAAAAUACAUUUUGUAAGGCUAUAGCUGCCAUAGAUAGUGAUUCCUCUGAUAGAUCUGGAAACAGUACACUGGAAACCUUCUGGAAAGGUCACCAUUCUGGAUGUCAUGAGGAACAUUUGUGAUGCAUGGGAGGAGGUCAAAAUAGCAUAAACAGGAGUUCUUCUGAAGAAGUUGAUUCCAGUCUCAUGGAUGACUUUGACGGGUUCAGCACUUCGUGGAAGAAGUAACUACAACUAUGGUGGAAAUGGCAAGAGAACUAGAGCUAGAAGUGGAGCCUGAAGAUGGGACUGAAUUACUGCAGGCUUGUGAUUAAACUCCUCAGGGACGAAGAGUUGAUUCUCAUGAAUGAACAAAGAAAGUGGUUUCUUGAGAUGGAAUCUACACUUGGUGAAGAUGCUGUGAACUUUGUUGAAAUGACAACAAAGGAUUUCCAAUAUGCUACAAGCUUAGUUGAUAAAGCAGCGGCAGGGUUUGAGAAGCUUGACUCUAAUUUCGAAAGAAGUUCUGCUGUGGAUAAAAUGGUAUCAAACAGCAUCACAUGCUACAGAGAAGUCUUUCAUCACAGGAAGAGUCGAUACAUGCAGCUGCAUCACUGUCUUAUUUUAAGAAAUUGCUGCAGCCACCCCAGCCUUCAAGCAGCCACCACCCUGAGCAGUCAGCAGCCAUCCACAUCGCGGCAAGACCCUCCACCAGCAGAAAGAUUACGACUCUCUGAAGGCUUAGAUGAUGUUAGCACUUUUUCUUUUUUCUUUUUUUUUUUAGCAAUAAAGUAUUUUUAAAUUAGGGUAUGUUCAUUUUUAAAGACAAAUACUACCACACAUUUAAUAAACUACAGUAUAGGAUAAAUGUACUGUGUAACGUAUAGUGUAAACAUAAUUUUUAUAUGCACUAGGAAACCAAGAAAGUUGUGUGACUCGCUUUAUUGCAGUUGUCUGGAACCAAACCCACAAGCAAUAUCUCUGAUAUAUCUCAGUAUUGAGUUGUAUUGCAAAAGGUAUUUCUUAAUGUGGGUUAAGGUCACAAAAGUUUGAAACCCAGUAGGUUAGAUGAUGUCUUAGUUCCUUUUCAUCGCAACCUCAUUUUGUAUUGUUUCGAAUCCUUAGCUCAGACCCCCAGCCAGUAAAUCAUCUGCUCUGAGACAAACACCAAGAAUAAAAGAAGCUGGGAAGCUUUUAACUUGCCCUAAGCAUUGUCUUGGAAACAGUAAAAUGCAGCCCCUUCCAGACCUCUUUUCUCAGUAUCUUUGGGGCGGGGCUUUGGAGCCUGCCUUUUGAGUAAUUGUUCCAUAGGAUUCUGAUGCAGGUGUUUAUGGGACCACCUUUUAAGAAAUACAUGUGAAGUUUUAAACCUUGUAACAAUUCUCUGAGGGGCACCUCCUCUCCCUCCCACUUUUCCCCAUUUCCAGAUAAGAAUCCUGAAGCCCCAGUUGAUUAGAUUGGGUGACUUCCAUAACAUCGCAGAGAUGUUAAGGCAAGGGCUUGGUAGGGCAGCACGAGGCUGCCGUUCCUCUUGCCUUUCCUACUCGGAGAGAAUCAGAUGGUAUGCAGUGUGGACGAUGGAAGUUCCUGAUUGAGGGCGUCUCCUGGAUCAAAAAUAAAUAGGAUUGUUGAAAAUGAUAGUGUUGGAAUCUUGGGCAUUGAAGCCUUUUGUCUCUGGGAUAGCCUUUGAGACCUCCUCCUUCCAUGAGUGCGGCUGACAAAGAGGCAAGUAAGAGGACAGGUAGCCGUGUCUGCUGCUUAUGAGUUGUAGUUCCAGCUCUGCCCCAGCUUUGAAAUCUUGGGCAGUGGCAGAGGGUUAUGUGACAGCGUCUAUCCCCGAGAGUUCUUCCAGAUUUUAAAUUCUGUGAUUCUAUCUUUUGGAAAAAUAGUAUUUCCUGUCUCUUACCUUGACAGAGAUACUGAGUGGGUCAACAAAAUGUAUGCACGUCUUUUGAGUUCCUCCAGAAAAACGAUGUAAACAGUCAUUCGUUGGCACCCUGCAGUUCAGUUCAGAGUUUGUGUGGGACACAGCAAAUCUCAGCGUGCACUUUGAGAGCUCCUCCAGGAGCAGGCCCUUCUUCCCCAUAGGAGGCUGGUGUAAAUUGCAUCACAGCCAUGUCCUCUGUGUCCUAUUCAUCAAGGGAAGCAUUGGGAACAGGGAGGUGGAGCAACUAGCCUAGGUGACCCUGCUUGACUUCAAGUUAAUCUUACUAUGUAAAGAAACGGAGAAGGAUUUACUUUCAAAACUCCUUCUGAUGGUGUCUAGGUGGGAAGCCAUAUCCAGUGAGAUUUGCGAGAACAAGAGGAAAUGGCCAAGUUUCCGGGAAGCAGGGCAGCUGUGUGCAGCUGUGCAUUCUGUGGCCCUAAACAGGCACUUUGUUUUUAAUUUGAAGGUCAUCAUCUCCCUUUGGCACAUGUGCUUCCUCUCUUUGUAAAUGUGUAAUAUUUUAUGCUCAAAUUCCUAUCUUAUUUUAGUCUUAAUCUAAGUCGGAUUAUAGAGGUACAUAUUGUCUUACUGUUACAUUUUACUGGUAUUCAGUGUUUGAUAUCCCCAAAGUCUUGACUUGCAUUCACAAGUGAUUACAUUCGUUAUGCUUGUCUUGAUCUCCAGGCGGUACGUAGUUAGAGACAGAACCCACAUUUGGCCUGAAAAUAGUAUUAAUAGAAGUAAAUGUUUUUCAAGCAGAGAUUGCAGCCAUAGUUUUUGAUAUAUGCUACCAAAUCAUGUUUUAUUUUGAGAAUUUUGUGUUUAAUUUUAUUUAAUGUUAAGGUGUUUAUCCAUUUUUCAUUUCUUGAUUCUUUUAAUGGAAGAACAUAUUACUAUUAUAUUAUUAUUAUUUUGUUUGUUUUCAGAAAGUAUGUGAAACCAGAACCCUAUCUCAUCGGCAGGUUAAUCUUACACAUGCUGUUUAAGUAGAAAUUCCUGCGUUUGUCUUUUAAAAAUAAUUUUUAAUAAUUUUAAUUCCAAAAUAGUUUACAAUAUAAGUUAUAAGCUGUUUUCAAAUUUAGGUUACUCUUGGAGUAAGGAAGAACUCUUAGCUGAGAAGAUGUAGUUAAGUCUGAGGUUCUGGGCGAGCACAGAAUUAAGUGAAGAAAGAAUAUACUAAAAGAUUCACUGAAGGUGACAUAGUCUAAUAUUAGCACCAUCUUAGACACUUACUUUGUAUAUAUUUUAAAGCAUGGAGACUAGCUUGGGAAGGCUGGAUGGUUGUUUGCUUUCAUGAAUGAGUUAUAAGGGAUAGUCCUAAGUUGCUUGCAGGCAUCCAAAACAAAUAUUAGUAAAUACAGCUUUACAGAAAGAAAAGGCAAAGUGGAAGGACUCAGUGGCUAAAAUAUAGUUCAGUUGCCAGAAAUGAUUGUCUUUAGUUGUUUUUGGAGGACUUAACCCUAAUGGAUCUAGGCAUGAAAGUUGAAUUAUAGACAUGAGAGAAUAAUGAAGAACUGAGAAACAGGACAUACCACCAAUUUUUAAAUGAAAGAGAAAAAAGUAGGAUACCAGAAUGCAUAGGUUAAGAUAAUGUGACAUUAUGUUAAAUACACAAUAGGUGUUUUUAAUAUCACGUGUAAAAAUUAAAGGCUGUUUGGUCUUUGAAUGCUUCACCUCCCUGAGCCUUGGUUCCUUGUUCCUGAGAAUGAAAGGGGUUGCGCUACCUCAUGUCUGAUGUAGAGCUCCUGAGCAGUUUCUGUUAUUUUAGGAAGCCUGAUGGAGAUGAUGUGCUCCUUGUUGACAGGACCCUACAGCCCUAAAGCAUAGCCUUCCCUCAAGUUUAUCUGAAUCGUAGAGAAUCAGUGUAGAGUUAUUGGCUGUAACACGCUGAUCAAAAACAUUAAUUGGCUGUUUUAUGGAUUGAGGUGAGGUGCGUGGUGCAGACAGGAGGGAGGAGAUUUGGUAUACUUCUGAGAAAAAAAGUAAAAAGCAGAUGGAAUUAAAUCUGUGGAACCUGAAACUAAUCUAGGUGCUUGUAUUAUUUUUGCCUAACAAAUUACCACAAACAUAGUUUAAAACACUCAUUUCUUACCCCACAGUUUCUGUAGGUCAGGUGUCUGAUUAGUUGGAUUCUGUGUUCAGGGUCUCACAAGGCCAUUGGGACUGAAUUUCCAUCUGAAGCUUGGAGUCCUGUUCAGGUCCAUUCAGGGUGCUGGCAGAAUCCCCUUCACUGUGGUUGUAGGACUGAGGUCCCAGGGUUCUUGCUGGCUGUUGGCAGGGGUCACUCUUUCCUAGAGGCCACUCUCAGGUCCUGCCACACGGCCUGCUGCACCCUAUGGCAGUUUGCUCUUCUGAGGCCAGCAGGUCAUCUUUCUGACACUGCACCUGCUUUUAAAGGCCUCCCCUGAUGAGUCAGGCCCACCAGGGAAAUCUCCCUUUUGAUGAACACAGAGUCAGCUCAUUAGUAACCUAAUCACAGGCAUGCUAUCCCAUCAUAUUCACUGCUCCCACCCCCCCACAAACCCAAAAGGAUGAUACAAGGGGCAUAACACCGGGGGUGGGCAGAUGUCCUAGGGCUAUCUAAGAAUUCUGCCUGUCACUGUGUUAGAUACUUGCAGGUUGAACUAAUGAAUGAAAGCAAGGGAGGAAGGAAAGAAAGGGAAAUAAAUUAAAAGUCAGCUUUGAGUUUGGCCGUGGCAGGGCUGAUGCUUCCUGUUCCUUUCCUUCCUGCUUCCUGUGCAUUUGACUGAGUGAGGGUGGGAGGUUGGAGGGACCGUAAGUGACUUCAGGGAGGCACCUGGUCAAUGCCGGGGCUCACACAGGAGAGGCAAGGAGGUGGGCUAAGCAUACACAGUGCAGAUGAGAUGGGCUCCUCCUGAUGGGUGGGUCUUCAUGGGACCAGCAUGGAAGAUUCCAGUCCUUCCACUUAGGUUAUUUGAUGAUGAUGAUGAUGUUGUUGAUGUUCCCAACUGCCUGUCUGAUUGGUGUCACCAAGUUAGAAGAAGGGAACUUCAAGUCCUUUUUUCUGUAGAACCCCACAGCCUUGCCAGCCCUGCUAGUGCAGCUGUGUUUUUAGAAGACCUUGUGGAGGUUGAAAACUGGGGUGUUGCCAGUUUCAUGCAGCUUUCUGGUUAUGGACAAGACUUACCCUGAGAGUGGAGUGGAGCGUGGACGACAAACAGAAUAAUUUUACUUACGGAGCCUCAAGUUUUAGUAAACCAGGAAUAUGAACAUUAUUUUUGAAACUAAGGGUAGCUAGAUAGAAGGGUUUUUAUAAAAGUAGUUUUCUUUUGCACAAUAUUAUUUUAUUCCAAAUUAUGCAUUUAUAAGAGGCUGUAAGACAUAGAAUGUAUAAUAAUCACAACGUUAUAGUUUAACAUUGUCCCCGAAGCUUGGUGAAGCGUUACUAAGUCUUCACUUACGUGACUAACCUGUUCAGUCAAUUGCCUCGCUAACCCAGCACCGUGCAAGGCCCCACCCUGAAGUGGAGGUGCUGGGUAGAGAGUUUCCAUAUCUUCCCAGGGUUCGGAGACAUGGAGGCCACAAGUGGCUGAUGGCCGGGAAGUCGGAAGAAGGGGAGGAAAGUGGUUUCUGCAGCUCUCCUCCCUGGCUUUUGCAUUGCCGUGUGCUUAAAGUAGGAGUCCAGGAGGGAGGAACACAAUCCGAAGACAAGCAUCCUCAAAACAGGGAAAAACAUCAUAGGAAAGCUUUUCAUAAACUCCCAACUGCUGGGACGUGGAGAGUUGAGGCACAUGAGACAGCUUUGGGAAAAUCAUGCAGAAAUAGGAAACACUGUGUUAUCUUAACAACUCAGUUUGUCAGCCAGGUUUGUCUUGUUCCACGCCCACAGUCCUUGAGGUAUUUCAGGCAUUUGGUCAUUCUACCCUUGAUAGCCUUCAGGAAGUGCACAGAUGCCAGCUGCUCCCGCUGUAUCACAAAGGCUAAGGGACCUCACUCCAAGGCCACCACUUGGAAGGUUAAAAUGAGGAUAUUUUCUAUCAGUCGUAGCAGGAAGAGAAAGUGGAAAAACUUGACGUUUGUGAUAAAGGACAGGGACCUCCUUUUGUGCGUGGGAAAUUGAAUCCUUGGGUAGCUUGUUGGUUACAGUGUAACUCUAGACUUCUGAUGGACCGCCUCAUUUGUGGUUGUCAUACUGACGAUCUGUUUUACUAAGUGGCAUACUCCAGUUUUUUAUUUAAUGCGGUCUGCUGGGGAGUACUUUCUUAGUUAUCUAUCGUGUUCUCAGAACUUUGUUCCUCUAAGAUUUGUAGGACAUGGCAAAUAAAAGAUACUACCCUUUGAGGAAUUUGGUUAGGAAGGAAGACCUGAGUUUAGGAGAUACAUGUAGAGCCCCAGAGUGUUUUUCACUAAGUACAGGGUAGGCGGAUUAUGUUGUAUUAGAUAUGAUGCAAUUGCAUUGGGAAGGUUUAAGUAAUCUGAUAAGGACUCUUAACUCUUAGGUUGUUUACUAAUUUAGAUAUAAAAUUUAGAGAAACAACUGUAGCAUUGUUGUUUAGUCUCAAUGGAAAGGUUAUGGUAUAAGAAUGUUAGCUUUUCAGUGUAAUGAAAAAGUCUCUUAUGAGUAAAAUUAGAAUCUAGUUUUGCUAAUAUCAUACUUGUUAUAUAUUUGAUAUUCACAAUGAGGACAGCUCAUCAUGAAUACUUAGCCUAGCCAAGUAUUCCAUUGAUAGAUGCCUAUGAGCAUUUGUAUCUGAGCUUUUGGGGGGAUUCAGAGGGAGGGUGUGGGAGCCUGUGUGGAGAGGAGGCCAGGGAGCUGGGCCUGUUCAGGGUUUCUCAUGUCCGAUUUCCUAGUGGAGGAAACUGUACCUCCAACUCCAAUAAAGGAAAAAAGAAAAACAGGUUUGUUUUUAUUACUGCCUGGUUAGGCUUGGGGGAAAUGAUAUUUGUGUAUUUGAAUGCAGUGUUCCACACCUGGAGCUCCAGUUCUGAUGUGUUUUAUGGGGCACAGAUGGACAGAAAUCAAUUCCUGAUACCUGUGACAAAGAAAAAUCCAUCCAGAGUUGGACACUGUUCCCUGCCGGGGGAACAGCCGCAAACAUGUGAGCCUGUGGUUGACAAAAGUAAGCCAUGCAUUUCAGAGGGCAUAUUAGGAAUCGGGACAAAUGGCUUGAGAAUGUCACACAGAAAGUGCAUAGCAUAACUGCAGCAGCACAUGACUGAAUUUCCUGGGCGCAAAAGCUGUUGAGGACUUAAAGUCACUCAGUAGCCCGUCUCGUGUUUUGGAUGCAAUUCUUUGAACUUUUAGAGUAGCAGAUUCCAUCAGGGAGGCCACAUGUGGAUUUAAGCAGAUAAUUUGUAUAGGCACAAAUCAUAUCGUUUUGACUAAGUUUUUUGGAAUGAAAUUGAUAUCUGCUUUAUCACUACUUGUACUUAUUGGGCUAUUUUGGCUUUAUAAAACCUUACUUGGUAGAAAAAAAGCCUUUCUGUUAUUAAGGUUGUUUGAAUAGGCUGAAGCAGGAGAAUCACUUGAACCCGAGAGGCGGAGGUUGCAGUGAGCCGAGAUCAUGCCACUGCACUCCAGCCUGGGUGACAGAGUGAGACUCCAUCUCAAAACAACAACAGCAACAACAACAACAACAAAAACAAAAAAAAAAAAAGAAAAGAAAAAAGAA